GAGAGAGAGAGAGAGAGAGAGAGUUUUGACUAAGAAUUUUUCUUAUUCCUUGAGAUAUAGAUAGAGAGAGAGAGUUUGACUGUGAAAUGUUAAUGGUAAUCACAAUUAGAUUUUGAUGAGAAUUCUGAUCUCAAUUAUGAUUAUAAACACUCAUACCAAUCAUAUAAUGCAAAUCUAAACUGGAUAAUUCUCUAAUAUGUGUACUAAUAAAGGUGGCCUUUUUUUCCCCUAUGUUCAUACCUUUAAGAUCUUUCAAAAUUCAAACAAAAUUUGAAUUCUAAAUUUUAUAUAUUUUAAAAUUUUGGUUUUAUUUUUAGAAAUUGGAUAUGAGUUAAAAAGAAAAAAAAUAAACCCAAAAUUUAAAAAUAAAUAAUCGAAUAAUUAUCAAACGUAACCUACGAGAUCAUGUAAAUAUGUACUUAAUUACUUUAUUUGAAGUUGCAAUUACUUGCUUGAUCUAGGCCAUAAAUAUGACAUAGGAUGGUCUAACAAUAGCGAAUCUAUUUGAACAAUAAUCAUAUCAAUUAUUAAAAGUUGAAGCAGUUUACACAACAAAAUGGUAUAUUCUUUCCUAUAUAGACAUGAUUUAACGACUAUAGAUAUAAAACAGUGAAGAAAAGUCAGAAUAGAUGACUUUUACUCUUUAAAUUUUUAUUUUUUCUUUAUAAAACGUAGACCAACUCAAAUAUUUAACUAAAGGAAUAGUCAUUUAUUUGAAGGUUCUAAUUUUUUAAGAUAUAUUAAAAUGAAACUACAAAUUUCACCUACAUCCCAAACACAUGUAAUGAGCUAAUAUACAUAAAACAGAAAGAGAAAAAUCAAUUGACUCUCCCACUUUGAAUCGCAAUUAUUUAUUUUUGAUUCAUUUCUAUUUUCAUUUAGAAGUUGAAAAUUAUUUACAUAAAAUUAUUCUUAAAAAAUAUCACAAAAUCUCUCUAAACAAGUAAAUAAAAGUAGAGAAGGAUUAGCAAGUGAAAAGUUACUCAAAUUUGAUGAAAAUCACUCCUAUAUCUAUUUAGAUCCACGACUUUAAAACAAAAUUUUAAAUAAGAGUCUAAAUAAGUUAACUUAAUUAAAUUGAUAGAUAUAUAACAAUGGGUAAUUAGUAUAAAGUUAAAAAAGUUUUAAUUAAACUAAUACAAAGUCAAAAUUUAAAAGUAUAGAUUAAAUUUUGUAGUCCCUCUAGAAGUGAUGUUAAAUGCGCAACAUCAUUCAAGUAAUUAAUCCACUUAGAAUCCAUAGUUUUUGUUGAGUAGAGAAGUCUUCAACAAUGGAAUUCCAUCACAAACUAAGAACCUUUUUUGUAACAAAAAGAGGCCAAAUUUAAUUUGUUCACGUAAAGUGUUACAAAAAAAAGUCACUCAAUUUUAUAUUAUAAAUAAAAAGAAAGAAUGGAAACUACCAAAUUAUGGAUUAUACCUGAUUAUGGAUUCAAAUAAAACUUUGUCUCAUAUAUAUAUAAAACUUAUAGCUUAGCUUAUAAGUUUACUUUAGAAAGACUUCCACAUUUUGCUUCCAAACCGUCUUUAAAGUUGAGGGACCUAAUAUUCAUUAUACAAAAUUAAAAGUCAUGAUAUGUAAAUAAUUAAUAAGGUCGUAGUUGUACAAUCUAUAAAACAUAUGUCAUAUUUGAAUAAUUAAACGGUCAAAGAUCGAGGAUGAUAAUGAUGACGAACUAAGUUGAUUCAAUGAACAUGAUACUUUUAUAUGUAUAUUCAUGUUAAUAUGAUGAAAAUUGUUGACAUGAACAAUAUUUGAAAUGUAAGAUAUUUAUGAUUUAGACUAGUUAACAAUGAAAUGAUGAAAAAGAGAAGGAUUAUAAGUUUUGAAACGUUACAAAAACGUUGGUUGAGUUAGGUCAUAUUUUGAAUAGUGUUGAAAGGAUGAUGUUUAAGAUUGAAUGCAUGCACACCCACCAUAUUUAUUUGAAGUGUGCCGGCCAAAGGCAUCAUCACAAAAACACAAAUUAAUUCUAUCAACACUUUGACUUUUUGACUCUCAUUAUAUACACCAAACUUCCCCACCUCAUGACUUCCUAAUGUUUAGUCUAUUUUUUCCAAUAGUGUGUUAUGGGGAUGAUCCAUUGCCCAUUAUGAACGAAGGGGUGAUUCCAAAUUCUCUCCAUAGUCCCACUUUUAUCAUACGACUUUCAAACGUGGAUCAAACUUUAGGUAUUUGUGUAAUGAUGUCAACCAUAUAUCGUGUCAUUUCAUUGAGGUUUUAAGUCUUAUUUGUAGUCGUUUGUCAAAAUUCUAGAAGCUUUUUUGUGACGGUAUUGUGUGAUUAUAUUAUAACAUCUAGAGGUAUAAUAAUUUGUGUUUGAAGUCAAGCAUAUAGAUACAUACACAAACAACUUCUCUAACUUCAUAAUAUUGGACAAAAGUAUAUAUCUAAAAGUGGUAUUUGCAAAGUAUAUAGAGAACAACCCACUAAUGAUACAAAAAGUAUUUUCAAAUUAGACGAUAAGAGUUCAAGAUGAAGGAAUCAUCAAAGUACGUUUAUCGAGAUCAAAAAACUUACGAUAUACUAAAAUAAUUUCUUAUAUAUAUAUAACAUGAGUGGAAAAUGUAUAAAUCGUUAGAAAAAUUUCUCAUUUUAUUCUCUAAUAUUAUGCAUAGUUUUUUGUUUUAAGCUUUGUGAAGACCCAUAAAAUGUAUUACAUAUACUUAAACACAUGGUUGGAUUGACAAAAAAAAAAAGAUGUUUUAAAUAAAUCAUUUUCAUCCAAACACUUUGUAUAACAACUUAGUUAUACUUAAUUACAUUCUUGAAGACAAAUUUGUUAAGUCUGACAUAAUCAAAGUGGAUGGUUGAUAUCUAUAGUUUCAAAAAGAAAAAUAAAUAGCAAAGAGAAAGUACUUGUGAAUUAAAUCAAAGCAAUGAGAAUGGUUAAUUAAGUAAACCAAUAUCCACAAAAGGUAAAAGACCAAGUUCAUUUCCCUUUCAAUGUUUACAAUAUUUUACACCCAAUUCUUUUAAUUUGAUAAAAAGGAAUUCAAAUGUCAAAAAGGAUAGUCAAGAAUAUUUUAGCUUUAAUGUUCCCUCAAGAUUAGGUAAGUUUGGCCAAAAGAUAUUGGAAGAGAGAGAGAGAGAGAGAGAUAUCCAAAGCCACAAAAAGACAAAUAAAUGAGCAAAAUACACAAACUAUUCAAAAUAAUAUUUUUUUAUUUUCUUCUUCUCUUUAAAAAUGAAGAAAAUGAACUUUGAACUUAAUCUUGUCGGCUUCUUCAAUACUUUAAUUUGAAAUUACAAUAUUAUUUCUUUUUAAAACAACUAUUAAUUAAUAAUCUUUUGUUAGAGACUUUUAUCUAAAGAAAAUAAAAUCUUUUAUUGGACUUUGUUACAUUCCUUACUUUGUACCCAACAAUUGUUUGAAGAUAAUAAACUAAUAGAAAUGUAAACAAAAAUUCUUACAUUGAUCCAAGAAAAAAGUGAUCGUGGAUAUAUAUAAGCAAUUAUUUGUAUUGAUAAGACUUCUACAUAUGGUCAUGAUUUGUGAAGUUGAAUGUAGGUAAGAAAAGGAAUGUAUAUAUAUAUUUCACAAGUUUUUUCCCUAGGUAGCCACUUUAGGUCAUUUUUAAAUGGGUACUAUUGGUAUAAAUUUUUAAGAUAUCGAUCCUUUAUUUUUUUAGUUUUAGUAUACAUUCAAGUUUUAAUUCCUUGAUCAAAGUGAGCUUAGUUUAACGGUAAUUGAUAUGACUUUCUAUUUUAGAGAUGUGAGACGUUCGAAUCUCUCAACCUUCAAUUGUUGUACUAAAAAAAGUUUCAAUUACUUGUAUAUAUUUCACCUCAAGCUUUAAUAAUUAUUUUUAUUCAUUUAGUAGUAAUUAAAACUUUAAAGGGAGAGAUUAUAAAAAGAAAAUUGAUAGGGAUUGAUUUAUUUUGAUGCAUUGUGAUAAAUUGAAUUAAUAUUUUUAUCGACGAAUUGUAAGUAACGCCCUCGAACAAAAUUUGUAGAUCCAACAACUGGCUCGAUUAUAGUCCCAUUUUGAAGUUAGGUUUCACGCAAUAACAUUUGCAUAUAUUCUAAUAUACUCCUCGUUGAAACUCAUGGAGAGAUAAUCAUUUUUACCUCAUGAUAUGCUCAUAUUUUCUUUGUCAACUCAUCAACGUGGAAUCCAUAUCUCUAUGCAUAUUGUAUAAUUAACUUACCAAUUAUACAUUUCAUUCUUCACACACACGCACACUAAAAAGAAAUCCAAUGUAAUUUUAUUUCCAUGCUACUAUUCUAGGCAACUUUUAAGUAGUUAGUCAAUACUUAAUUAGCGGUAAUUUGAUAUGAUCUUCCUUCUAUCUAUUGUACUAAAACGCAAACUUUUAGAUGGUUAAAAGUUGUUAAGUGUUUAUUGUGAAUUUUUUGGUCAAAUUUUGGUUGAAACAACACUUCAUAUAUUUUAUAUAUGUGUGUGAUCUAACUGUUGGGUUGGCCAUGCCCAUGCUCUAGAUGAACAUUAUUUAUAAUGAGCCCUCAGUCCAUGUAAUAUUCCUCCAAUUAAAUAUUAUAAACAUGAUGAGAAAAGGGAAAAUAAUAAUAAUCCAAGACAAAAUUAAAUGAGGUUUAAUAAUUAACUAAGAUUAUAUAUUGGAAAUUCAAAUAUCAUCUAAACUCAAAUACAUCUCAUCCAAAUAAGAAAGUUCACUUUCAUCAUCAUCAUCAUCUUCCUCAUAACAAAACAUACUUCUUCCAAUAAUAUUAUUGUUUUCUUUUGCUUCAAAUACUCUACAUACAACCCAUAUUCCAAACUCCUGUUCAAAUCACAACACAUACAAUCACCUUAAUAAAUCAACCCAACAAUAAUGUUUAAAUUAAAUAACCUAACAAUUCGAACAAUCUAGACUAUCCAAUCUAAAUUGUAUAGACUAGGUUAGGGUAACCCAAAAUUUAGAAAAUGUAACCAACAACUCACUCUAAUCUAACUCGAAUUUUAAAGAUUUGGUUCGAUUGGGUUGAAGAUACAAUCAUUUUGGGUUGCCAAUUUGGUCCAAAAACUUUCCAUAAUCCAACUCAAUCAACCCAUUUACCUUCACCUAAUUAAUCUCUAUACACAAUUAUAAAAUAUACCAUCAUUCAACCACUACUACAUAGUUUUAUGUUUUUCUCUAUUUAAUUUAAUUAUGCUCUUAGGAAAAUACAUACACUAGUUAAGUUUUUUUUCUUGAUAUGGAUUGUAUAGUUAUAUAAUCUUGUAUCUAUUCAGUAUUUGAACUUUUGGAUUACAAUUUAUGUGAACCUCCAACUUUAUCAAAUAGGUUAUUGAUUUUCUUUCAACUAUUUUUAUAAUUUACAUACCUUAGUGAUCGUAAAACAUUAAUAAAGCUUGAAGUCUAGAUUUGUUAUUAUUUUUAAAAAAUUUAAUAUGUCGUGAACUUAUUAAAUACAAAAUCUAAAGUUUAAAGACACAUUUAAUAUUUAGGAACCCUUUUACCAAACUUUAAAAGUUUAAGAGAUAAAUUUGUAAAUGAAUCUGCAUCCAAAUUAUCUAAAUACUUUUUUGGUUUUUUAAGCUUUUAAAUAUGAUUUUCAUUUUGGUCCUUAAAAUUUCUACUUCCGUUCCUAAGCUAUAAAUUUAGUUUUUAUUUGGUGAUAAUACUUAUCUAAAUUAAAAUUUAAAAAGUUACAUUUUGCCAUUGUGUUUGAGUUUUUAUUUCCAUUUAGUCUAUAAGCUUUAUAGUUUUAUACUUUUACUUAAGAUAGUAAAAAGACCAUAGUACCAAAACUAGUAAUUUCACAUAUAUUUUUUUAUUUAAUAAAAAAUUAAGUACUAAGUGCCAACUAGAAUGAACAUAUACUUCAUUUAGCAAAAAGUUUGUACUACAAAUUUCAAGAUUAGAACUUUAUUGAUUAUUCACUCCACGUAUUAUUUUUCUAGAAAAACACCCGCCAUACCAAUUACUUUGUCUGAUUUUGAGGGGAAAACAUGGUGAUCGAAUCUAUAACGAAAUGAAAAAGUGUAAAAUGAAAGAAAACGAAAAACGAGAAACAAGGAAAAAUAGUGAAAAUGUAAGAUUCUUGAGUUGUUUCACUUACUGAUUUUGUUUGUGAUAGAUUAUUGUUGUUGUUUUGAGAUGGAUGAGUAUGAUCAUGAGUGUUCAAAAGGUAGUUGUAAAUGUGAUACUCUUGCAUGACCCAACUUGUUUGAAUGGGUGUUGGUGAUUCAUCAUCUUCUUCUUGAUCACCAACAAAGAAAAUAUGAUAUUUUUUGAUACCCACUUCAUCCCCAUUGGCACCGCAAAAGAUUGGUUCAUCCAUUAAAACAUCUUUCCAAUAUCCACUCUCUGUUGCUCUACUUUCUCCCACUCUGCUGAAAAAGUAAUGAAUGUCCCCAUUUGACAGUGUUUUACCUGUGAAACACAAUAAAAUUUUAACUUUAAAAUAUGUGUUUUGGUUGUUUCAAUUUGGUUCAUAUAGAUACAAAAUUUAUAAAUAUAGAACUUUUACUUUUCACUUAGUAUUAUUGCUCUCGAAUUUGAAACUUAAAUGAAAACUAAAACAAAAACUCAAGAAACAAAAACAUUUUAAGUUCUAAUGAAGUCUACAAGUUUUAGAGAAGAUAAAACAAACUAGAAUCAAUAUUUACUUUAAAGGAAAACGUAAAAUAACACACACAUAUAUAUAUAAAUUUUAAAAGCAAGAUCUUAUGCUCUUCCAAUGCUCCUCAUCAAUCUAACUUAAAAGCUAGCUUGACUUCUUGUACCUACUGCAUGCAUAUAUAGCUAGCUAUAUUGUUCUUCGCAUAAUAAGAGAAAAGAUAGAGGGGGGGAGAGAGAGAGAGAGAGAGAGAUUAUGUAUAUAUUAUAUUAUACCAUGGAAUUGCCAAGGGUUAUAGAGAUGAAGCUGAAGAUGAGGAAUAAUAAUGGAAUUGGAAAAACGAUGAUGAGAGUUAGCUUUGUGAUAGAGAAAGUGAAGCACAAGGUCUUCAUCAGUUGGGCAGAAUCUAAGACCAGGAGGCAACAGAUUUAAGCUAUUAUUUCCACUUAUCCCACCUUCAUCCAUAUUAACAAACUCAAUCAUAAUAAUAUAAAUAACAAAUACACAAUAAUAGUAUUCUUUUCUUUUUUCUUUUUGAGGAGGUAACUAGGUUAAGGCCUAGUAGGUUUUAAUGGAGAAACUUUGCACCACAUUUGGCCUAUUUAUAUAUAGAAAUUAAAUGCAUAUAUGAAAUUAAAUUAAAUAUAUAUUUAAGAAGAGGAUAAUAUUAGUGCAUAUAUGUGUUUUGUUUCAUUGAUUUAAUAAAGGCAUUUUUUCCCAACACCAUGCUUCCUUGACCCACACUUUUGGAAUGAAAACAAAAUCAAAAGUAACUUUUUCUUUUGCUUUGUUUUUAUUGUAAAAGAGACACAAAAAGAAAAAUAAAGAAAACAGUAACUACUACUUUAUAUGGUCUACUAACACCAACUUGUGAUCAUAAACUUUAGGUUUAGCUUACAUUUAUAUUUUAUUUAUUAGGUAUAUGGUGCUAUAAGAUAAUGUUUAAGUUAAUGAUGGAAAAUUAUUUUCAACCAAAAGAUGAAAUUUUCAGUACUUUUUUGGGGGAGAAGUGACAAAGCAAUAGCAAUUAAAUGUUGUAAUUUUGUUUUAUUUAUAGAAGCAAUGAAUUAAUGGUAUUUAGUGAGAGUGAAAUGGUGUGGAUUGCAAAUGGAUGAAAUGAUAAAUGGGUAAUCAAUCAAAUCUGAACAUAGUGGGUGUCGUUGUUUGAUGAACUACUGCCUAAAUCAUUUUGUUUAAUCUAAUGCAUAAUUACGUUUAAAUUAUUCCCUCUCUUUGAUUAUUGACUUCACCAAUAUUUCUACCAAACAAAAAUAGAAGAUGAGAUGUAUUAAUCCACUAAAUGUUCCUUUGGAUUUUAAAGUCUCUAUCUAGUACAAUAAUAAUGACAAUUAUAUAUGUAGAGAGAAGAGUCACACCCUAACAAUUUAAUCGUGAAAGAAAUUAUUAACAUUUUGGGAUAGAUUUGAAUAAUGUUAAAUAUAAUCAUCAAUAUUGAUCCAAAAACUUAAGUUAAUAAGUGCACGUUCUAACGUUCAACAUUAUUAAUAUGAAUUCCUUAGGGUUGCUUGCUCAUGAACAUUUUGUAGUAAAGGAUCUUUCCAAAGAAAAAAAGAUUUGAGAGGUGUGAGAAUUGAUUAUAUAUUAAAGAUGAAAGACAAUUAUCAUAUAUUAAAAAUACUUAGAAUAUUGAUUGAUUUACAUAGUAAAGACAAGAUUAUCAAGGUAUUAAAACACUAAUAUAUACCUUCAAAAUUCCCAAUAAAUCAUACCAAUAUACACAAACAAACAGGAUGAAACGUUAGUUGACUCACCAAUUGAUCAAAAACUACUUUAAGUUUUUUUUAAAAAAAUAAGUAACAACAAAAAUAAAUAUAAAAAUUAGUAUAUUAUUAGAUUAAAAUACUUUGUGAAAGGGAUCUAAUAAUAAGUGGUGACAAAUAUAUUAUUUUAUGGAGUGAUGUAGAAUCAAAUCUAAUGAAGCCCUUAAAAUUAAUAAACACUCACGAGAUCGAUCAUUCAUUGUUUAUAAAAAAUACAUCAUCAUUGUUUAUAUGAAAGCAACUUCUUUCUAUUAUUUUUUAUUCUCCCAUCUCAUCAUUUUGUUGGAUGGGAUCUUAACACAUAUAUACAACAGAUUCUGCCAAUUAGAAUAUCUAUAUAGUUCUUUGAAAACAAAACAUAUAAUUCUAAUCCAAUAUAGUUGACAGACAAGUUUUACCACUCCAACACAAUUUUUUAUAUUAGAAACUUUGGUAACACUCUACUCCCUGUUAUGAUCACUUUCCUACAUAGGAGAAUAAACAUGUAUUUAUGCGUGCCAUUUAGUUGCAUUCAAAUUUUCUCGUGAUAGUUGUUCUUUAUUUUAGAAAUUCAAUUGUCCUAUACAUUGAAAUAGUUUAUAGAAAUGAUGGGUUUCAAUAUGCCUUUGGUUUCAAAUCAUCCUAAUUAGAAACACUUUUAUAAGUUUGAAUGUGCUAAUUAAUUCUUGUUAAAUUCUCUUUUGUAAUUUUAGUUUUGAGAGGUGAGAUUAAAAGGUGUGAGUAAUACUAAAGUUUUGAGAGAGUGUUCUUGUAAUUGAGAUUGGAAAAAGAACUAUUUAUAUUAUGUGUGAUAUAUUAUAACAAUUUUCACACGGUAAACUUCUUUUUAGUUAGUAGGUCAUGGUUUUUUUCUAGGUUAAGAGAUUUUCGUGUAAGCCUUGUGUUUUCUAUUAUUUUCUUUUAAUUUCUAUAUCAUCUUUCUACUUAUUUUGUCAAAGAGAUGAUAGAUUUUUUUUUUCUUCUAACAAUUGGUAUUUCAUAGCCUUAAAUUCAUAGUUUCUUGAAUGUUUGAGUAUACGUUUUAUAGUUACCGCACUAUUUAUAUACUUUCAUGUCACUAUUUAUAUACUUUCAUGUUAGAAAAUCGUAAACACUAAACAUUAAACGUAUUAUGAAUAUUGUGAAUUGGUUCACGCUACUUAUAAAUUAUUUAGAAGUGCAGCAAAUAUACGUUAAUUAGGUUUAUAAGGUGAAUAUGAAAUUUGUCAGUAUAGAAAUGAACUCAACUAAGGAGAACAACUUCAACUUGUACUGAUCAUAAUUGUAUUAUGAAUUAUACAUGAGAAUAAAGAGUGGUAAGUGCAUUGGCCUAAUAUUAUUAUGCAUGCUUUGGUUUAUCAAAAGCCAUAUCAUUACGUUACAACUCAUUAGGCUAUUCAAAAUGAUUCCCAUUUAUUGUUUUAGUUGAGAGGUCAUAUCUAAAAGCAUUUUGAAGGAAUAAUCUCAACCACAAAAGCGAAGCCACUUUUGUGCUUAUCCCAAUACAAAAGGAAAGAAAAACACUUUGCAAUUGCAAUUGAGUUGCAACCCAACUCUUUUCCCAAUAUUAUCUUAUUUAUUUAUUAUUAUUAAUUAGUUAAGUUUGAAUGCAACUUGUUUGUAGUUGCAAACAAAUACUAUAUUAUUUGGCAUUUGUUAUAUAUUUGUUUUGAUAAUCAUUUAAACUAUUAGAACACAGUUCUAUACAACUAAUAAGUGAUGAUCACCAUUAGACAUUUAGGAGAGAUUUGUAGUGCGAAAGUUUAAGAACCUAUAGUUUAAAAAUGGUAAUGUAUAGGAAAUCUACAAUUCUGGAGAUAACUAGACAUAGUAAAAAAUUUAAGAAUCUCUAGUUCCUUUACAAUUAUCAUGAUUAUAUGUAUAUCUAAUCAUCCAAAUUAGUUCUAGAGUAGUACUUAGCUUCAAUGUAUAACUAGUAUUAGUCCACGUGAUAUAGCAUUAGAUCAAUAGUUUAGUGCUUUUUCAAAGAAAUUAAAAAUGGUUGAUAAGAGACGAAUAAAUUGAUAGAUAAUCAUAACUAUUAAUUUUAUUUCUUGCUCCUUUUUUCUAACCACCACUCACUUUAAAAAUUGACAUAUGUUUCUUUUUCGAUAUAGACAAGGCAUUAUUAGUUCAAUCUAUAUAUUUAAGUUAGCAUGGUUUAUUCUUAACUCAAUCAUAUAAACAUGGAAAUAAUCUUUCACCCUAUACUUACCUAGAAAUUUAAUUCAUAUUAGUACCUAUAAUAUAGGUAUUUCAAAAUCAAUAAAGGGAAGAAUAAUGAAUUGAAAAUCCCAUCAUUAGUUCAUCUUGUUUUCAAUCCUUACAUAAAAUUGACACAAUAUCCUAGCAUGCAUUUAAUCUUUCUUAUUGAUUUUAAAAGUCUAAUUUAUUUUAUAACAUUUAUAAAAACUUUUAGACUUAAUCAAUCAUUUUAUCAAUAUAUAACCUUAUAAAAACAUUCAAUUAAUAUGGAUUUUAAUUUAUUUAACUUUAAUUAAAUCAUAUUUAAUUUUAAUUUAAUUAAAUCAUAUUUAAUUAAAUUAAAUCAAACAAUAACUAAUUAAUUUGAUUAAAUCAUAUUUAAUCAAGAAUAACUUAAUUAAUUAAUCAUAUUAAUUAAUUUCCAUAUUAAUCAAUUAACAUGCAUACAAUACAAUAUAACAUUUAUAUUAUACAUUUUAAUGCAUGAACAUGUUAACCUAUGGUGGGAUUUUAAAUCUAUAUGACAUUCAAAAUGCACAUACAAAUUUAAAGUAAUUUAAUCAUACAUCACAUGCAUAAAUAAAAAAACACCCUAAAAUGGACUGAUUUUUGGCUCCUAAAUUAAGUUAAGUACUAAAUUAUUACAUAAUUAAUUUGGUGUAGUACAGAACCACUCCCAAAAACUUCGAACCGGCUGAAAAACUAACCGAAACCCCUUGAACCGGCCCAAAAACCAAAUUUAUUGGCUUGAACCGGCCCAAUUAACUAAACAGGCCCAGGCGCACACGGGUCGGGCGCAGGCGGGCGCGGCGGGACAGGCAGGAGGGCGCGCGGCGCAGGAGGGCGCACGGGCGCAUGCGGGCGCGCGGCACAGGCGGGCGCGCGGGCACAGGCGGGCGCAGGAGGGGCGCGCGGCGCGUGGGACGCAGGCGGGUCGCGCAUCGGGUCAUGACCGGGUUUUCGGGUCUGUGACCUUCUUUUCUUCAUUUUUUUUCAAUUCUCUCACCCGGUUGAACCCGUUACAGCCUAACUUCAACUCUAAUGACUUUUUUAGUUUUUAAAAAAUUACAAACACUUUGCAACAAUAAAAAUAAGCCAUUAACAAGGCUAAUUACAAUAAUUAGAACAAAAACACUUAAUCUAGAGCCAAAUUCAUAAUAUAUCCAUUUUAGUUCAAACCAAAAUUUAUCUAAUAAAUAUGAACCCACCACAUACAAUUGGGUAAAAAUGAAGCAUGCUCUGAAACCACAUGUACCAACUUGAUCACCACAAGUCCCAACUUGAUCACCACAAGUCCCAACUUGAUCAUUGAUGGUACUUGUGGUGAUCAAUGAUCAAGUUGGGACUUGUGGUGAUCAAGUUGGGACUUGUGGUGAUCAAGUUGGGACAUGUGGUUUCAAAGCAUGCUUCAUUUUUACCCAAUUGCAUGUGGUGGGUUCAUAUUUAUUAGAUAAAUUUUGGUUUGAAAGUAAUGGAGAUAAAAUGGGAUUGGAAGGUUUCUUUUUUCUUUUGUUGAGAUGAUGAAAAUGAUAAAAGAGGCAAAAGUUCUUCAACAUUUGAAAACACCUCUAUUUAUAACCUAAUUACAUGCAAAAAUGCAUGUAAUUCAUUUGCCAAAUCUCAACACCUAAUGUUCCACUAACAAUUAGUGGGCUAGGUGUCUAUAUCUCAUAUAGCCACAUAUCCCACUAAGAGUUAGUGGGAUUAUCCAACAAAAUGUUGGAUUUUUCCACUAACUUAGUCCAAGGGUAAAAUGGUCAUUAGAUAUUUCUAGUCAAAAGUCAAACUUUGACUUUUCUAAGUCAAAAGUCAAUAUUUUGACUUUUUACCAUUUUGUCCGUCUUGACUAAUUCCAACCUCCCGAGCAUGAAUCCGCAUUCAUUUUUCCAAAAUUCAAAUCACAUUUGAAUAUAAGGCCGGUCAAAGUUUGACCUUUUCAAAGUCAAAAGUCAACAUUUUGACUUUUUACUAUUUUUGACCAAUUCCAUCAAUUCUGAGCUUCUUAGUAUGAAUCCGCAUUCAUACUUAUAGUAUGUAAAACAUAAAGCUCUAUUUCUAAUUAGAAGACCGACGACUAUAUCACUAUAUUUGUCGGUUUCCCUUUCUUCUCCCAAUUCGAAACAAUUCGAGCUUAUUUCAUCACACUGUUCUAAGUUUAAUCCAUAUGAGCUAGCAGAGGAACCUAAUGGACCUAUAGAUCAUGGGCUCCAACGAUUCAAGAUUAACUAGCUAAACUCUUUUAAACCGAGUUAAUCAACAUUCGUUAACUAACGGGUCAUUCCACUAAAGUCCCGUAGUUGCACUCCCCUCACUAUAGAUAUAUUUGUGUCCAUUUGAUAAAACCAUAAUCAGUAAGUUAAUCCUUCACAGGUUGCUCGUAACCUUGGCUGGGUCAAAAUACCGUUUUACCCCCAAGAUUACAUCUUGCUCCUUAAGUCCCACUAAUCCACUAUUGAACAAUUGGUUUAAGGUUCAACCUAUAAACUUAAUCCCUCUCGGGCCAAUGAGAGGGUGGGGCCCCUUGUUCAAGACUUGGAUUCAGUGCUUAAGAGAGCAACCUAUCUACUAACCCUAAAGCGGGUAGGAGUGAAUUCCAUCUUGUACCCUAUGUUCCCAGCUAUCCACCGAUCUUACCCCUGAAAUGGGAGGCUUAUUGGGCCAACGCUGAUGAGCUGCCCUCACCUAUGCAGAUCUAAGGAUAAUCUCGUGUGAACAGGAGUUCAUAGUUAACUCAGGAUUAAGACUAAGUUACCUAGGUCAUCAAUAAUUGAGAUAGUCAGUUUUAAACAGUAAACGGUGUUAUAACGUAAAAAUGACUAAUUCAUGGUUCAGUCUUAUGUAAACAUUUUACAUAGGAUGCCCCCACUUUCAUGUCUCUACAUGAACGAUUAGGAUCACCUCGUUUGUACUACAAAGUGGGCCGCAUCCAUAGUUUCUCUAAAUAAGGCGCCCAACCUUUAUUUCAUAUACUAUAGACUAUUUAGGCUAUAUACUCGAACUUGAUCCACGUUUAUGUUUACACAUAAAGUUCAAGUUUAUUCAAAAAAUAGCCUUGGAACUUGAUUUAUUGGAUUUAAGAUUAUAAUAUUUAAUUUCUCAAUAACAACUUUAUUGAACAGAAUAUGAUUUACAAACUACGAGUUUUAGGACAAAAAAUUCCAACACUAAAGAGGUGCAAGAUAAAAAUAAAACAAUUAAACCCUUCAAAAACAAGUUUUGGGAUAAAAAAAAUGAGUAUGUGGCAUCACUGGUCACUUUUUGUGGAAAUUUUUUUCAAUAUUAUUCAAAAUGAGACUAUCUAGUAGUCAGAUUUGAAUUUUCGAUACUUUUCACAUUGUUCUAAAUUGGGUCGUUUCUUUGUAAGCUAUAGCAUGGACAUUUUUAGAACCGUUUUGGGUGCUACCAUAAUACAUCACUAAGGAGCACCAGUCUCGACCAUUAUGCAAUUUUCUGUGUCAUAGAGUAAUGCAAAAGAUAGGAUGUCGCACUUAUCAACCCACAAUCAUUGAGUUAAAGAGGUGCAAGAUAAAAACAAAAAAAAAAAUUAAAAUAAACGCUUCGAAGACAAGUUUUGGGACAAAAAUAAAACAUGAGUCUUAGAGCAUCAUGGAUCAGGUUUUAGUUUUUGUGGGGAAAAAAACUUUAAUAUUACUCAAAAUGACACAAUCUAGUAGUUAGAUGUGAAUUUUCGAAACUUUUUAACAUUGUUCUAAAUUGGGUCGAUCCCAAUUAAUUUUCUACUUUGUAACAAUGUUUCAUUUAUGUCAAUGGUUAGGUUGGAACAAGAUAUAAGCGUUAGGUAUGAAAACGGGUCAUGUUUGUUUAUUUUUCUAGAAAAAAAAAAUUGACAUAAUCCAACUCAAAUUUGGUUUCACAAAGAAGUUGUUCGACUUGACUCGGAAAAAAAUUAGAAACAAAGAGGAAGACCUUGAACAACCUAAAUUUGAUAGAAUUUAGGUAAUGAAAAUGAUUUGAAGAUCCAUGAAUGUGAAGGGCAGCUCAAUUAGAUAUGAAGUACAUAAUGAUCAUGUUGAUUAUUAUUGCAUGCAUUUAGGUUUGAAAACCAUGAAGUAUUGAGAAAACAUAAAAGUGAAAUUCAAAGUUUAAUUUGGAUGAUUGGAUGUUUUUGUUGAAUAUGAUUUGGGAUAGACACUAUUUUUCCACCUCUCUUAAUUCAUCAUUCGCCAAAUGGCUACACAAUUAUAUACAUCCAAUAUAUAAGAGAUAUAUAAUGAUGAACAAUGUUUCAACUUUAAUUAAAGUGAUGGAAUCAUGGAAAUAUAUGUAAGAACGAUGAGUUCGCAUGCCAAAUUGCCAUAAACCACUCCAUCUUCAUUGAUUUCAUAAGUUAUAUGAUAACCUUUUCUUUUUCUGUUUUUCAUUUUUUACUAUAGAUUUUUUAAAUUAUUAAUUUCAUUUUUCGUUUUCAAUUUUUGAAAAGAAUAAACAUUAGUAAGAUUGAAGAUAAACCCAAAUAAACAUUGGCCCAACAUAAGAUAAAACCCCAUUAUUAGCAAAAUGGGCUCAUAUGGGCUGUAAGCUUAUAAGGGUAACUACCCACGUGGGUCAUGUCUAUCGUGCGGUCAGCCGUCAACUCCAUAAUGGGUUGGAAUCUUUUUGGAUCUGGGCUAAUUGGGCCAAUUGGGUUUGCUCCAUUUAUCUUUAAAGCUAUGUUUGCUCCAUUUGAGUCUUGCACUCAUCCGUAUAACUCCAAAAGGCACUUGAGGCUUCUAAAGCUAGCUAGAUUUUCUCUAUCAAUAAACAAACUUGAAGACAAAGUUAGUAAAUUGGAUUAAGUGAUUUUAGUUUCAUUAGAGUGACCUAAAGUAAAAAAGUAGGAGAUGAGAUCUUCUGGUUUAGGGAUACACAGAGUCGUCCUAAGAUUGAUUUUGUGGAGUGAGUGGGCAUCCCAUUGGGUUUAACCAAACAACAUCUAGAGAUGUGAGAAAGGGUUGAAAUAGUUGGAUGGAAGAAAGAGAGAUGAAUGGAAAGGAAGUAAGUAUUCACGGGGUAACAAAAGUUUGAUAUUAUUAAAAAAGAAAAAGAAAACAAAGAGUUGAAAACAUGGAAAUGAGUUGUAAGGAAGGAGUGAUGGAAAAGUUUGGUUGGGUACCCAUUGACCACAAAACAAUGGUUCACGGGUGCCUUUACACUCUCUCACUACAUCCUUUUUUUAAUCACACAUUCCAACAAACACUAAGGCCAUUUUUCUUUUAACAAACAUAUACAAUUUACAUUAUUGAUAUCUUUUCAAUAUUUAACACAAUAUUAUAUAUAUAUAUAUAUGAAAAUUUGUAUGGAUGAAAAAUGAAUCAUAACGAAAUCAAUUUAUUUAACUAUUUUAAAAAAAACAUUAAUUUCAAAUAAAAACAAAGGAAAGAAAAUUGAUGUAUAAUUUCCACACAUAAAUAGUUUUAGGGCAAAGGACAAAAUAGAAAUAGGUAACUUUUGAGGACAACCAAGCAAUUUUUGAAAAAGUGAAGAAGAGCUGAAUCUUCUCUUUUGCUCUCAUCCACAAAAAAGAUUUGCCCAUUUUUUUCAUCUAUUUUUCCUUCAAUUUUAACCUUUUGUUUGAAUAGGAAUUAAUUCUCCACCACACAAAAUAAUGAAAAGCUCAUAAAUCCAAAUGCCUUUCUUACAAAAAUAUAAUAACACUAAUCACCCUUCAAUUUUUGUGGUCCACUAGUUUUGCAUGUAAAUCCAAAUCUUUGGACCCAUGGGGUGGAAAAAUUGAAUAAAUAUCUAAAUUUUUAACAUACUUUAUACUAAAUAUCAAUUCAUACAAAAAUAGAUUAUAAAUGUAAAGGAGUACUGUAUAGAAUAGAGAAACACCUCAAAUUAACUACAUAAUUUUAAUUAACAUUUAAGUUAACUAUACAUUAUUGUUUACUACAUGUAACAUUAAUACAUAAUAGAGAGAAAGUUUACCAAAAGAAUGUAAAUUGAACUUAUGGGUUCACUUGCAUGGUAAAAUUAGUAGUUACAAAGUAAAAAUGUUAUUAUUAUCAUCCCUAUUAAUAAACCUUUCUUGUUGGCUAAAAUAAUAACAAAGACAUGAUUGAGUAUUAAUUUAGGAAACCACAUAAUAAAAGUGCUAAGAAAUAGAAGGGAUAUGUUAUAUUACUUUAUAGUAUUGAAUCAAUUAUAAAGGUGAAUGACAAAAAAUAAUGGAGUUAGAUUAGAGUAAUGUAUGGUCAUAUGUACUUAAUAAUUAAUUAUUCUUUUACAUUAUGUCAUGUUUUUAUUUAUUUAUUUAUUUUUUUUUGGUCCAAUUCAUCUAAUUAUCAAUACAUUAAACUUAAUUAUUCAAGUUCCUUUUGACAUUAAAACUCAUCAUUUUAACUCUAUGAAAGGAUUUGGAUGAAAUGUGCAGUUGUAAGAUUCCUUACCAUAUCAAUUAGCUAUUUGUAUUUUUAAUUUGAUAGGAUGAUGUAAUUAUCAUUCUACUACAUAAUAAUACAAUUGAAUGAAGAUUGAUACAAACAAAAAGUAGUUGCAAAUAUAGCAAUCAAACCUAAACAAUAACUCAUCAUCUUUCAGUCUCUAAUAAGUUUGAAGUAGUAAGAAAAAAGAAAAGAAAUGAAAUGAAAAAACAAAACACUAAGAAUAAUUAUAUUUAAAGAAGAGAUAGAAUGCCAAUGUUGGCAUAUUGAGAGAGAGAGAGAGAAUGAGAAUGUGAAGAAAACAGUGUGUGUGUGUGUGUGUGUUUAAGGGCUUAGAAAGAAAGCAGUGAGCUGAGUUAGUAAGAAAAACCCAAAUCAGAAGAAGAUAACUGAAAUGAAGAAGCAAGAAGAAGAACAACAUCAAGAACAAGAAGGAUGCGACAUUGAAGCCAUAGGAAUCACCUACAAGAUUCAAAUCCAUAACUCCAAAUCCCCAUUUCUCAACUUCUUCUCCACCUCAAAACCCUCCCUCCGCCAUCGCCAUGUCCUUUCCGACGUCAAUUGCCAAGCCAAAUCCUCCCAAAUCCUUGCCAUUGUCGGCCCCAGCGGUGCCGGAAAAUCCACUCUCCUCCAAAUCCUCGCCGGCAAAACCACCCCUCACGGCGGCUCCCUCCUUCUCAACCACCUCGCCGUCGACCCUUCCUAUAUCAACCGAAUCUCCGGCUACGUCCCUCAAAAAGACUCCCUUUUCCCUCUCCUCACUGUCGAAGAAACUCUGACCUUCACCGCCCGCCUCCGUCUCUCCCUCCCUUCUGCCGUCCUCACCGCCAAGGUUACUUCUCUGAUCGACGAACUCGGUCUGACCCAUGUCGCCCGUUCCCGAGUCGGCGACGACCGAGUCCGUGGAAUCUCUGGCGGCGAGCGGCGGCGGGUUUCAAUCGGCGUGGAAGUGAUUCACGACCCCAAAGUUCUUAUUCUUGACGAACCCACUUCCGGUCUCGACAGCACUUCCGCUUUUCAGAUCAUCGACAUGCUGAAAACAACCAUGGCUGAAGCUCAGCGAAGAACCAUCAUUCUUAGCAUCCAUCAACCUGGAUUCAGAAUCGUGAAGCUUUUCGAUUCCAUUCUUCUUCUUUCCAAUGGCUCUGUUUUACACCAUGGCUCUGUCGAACAUCUCGGACUCAACCUCACUCUAAUCGGCCUUCAACCUCCUCUUCAUCUCAACAUUCUCGAAUUCGCCAUUGAAUCCAUCGAAACAAUCCAACAAACCCCAAAUCAAACCCAAUUGUUAAUCCCUCACUCCCAAUUAAAACCCCCUAAAUUCACCCUGCAACAGCUAUUUCAACAAUCCAAAGUCAUCGACGAGGACACCAUCAAAAUCGGAAUCCACAAAUCAAUCCCUCACCAUUUCGCCAAUUCCCCAUUCAAAGAAACGGCCAUCCUCAUGCACAGAUUCUCCAAGAACAUAAUCAGAACAAAGGAGCUUUUCGGUUGCAGAACAGUACAAAUGUUGGUAACAGGGCUUGUUCUUGGUUCAAUUUUCUACAAUCUCAAAUUCGAUUUAAUUGGUGCUGAAGAACGCGUGGGGUUAUUCGCCUUCAUUCUCACAUUCCUAUUAACAACCUCGAUCGAAGCCCUCCCAAUUUUCUUACAAGAAAGAGAGAUUCUAAUGAAAGAAACCUCCUCAGGUAGUUACAGAGUAUCCUCAUACGCCAUAGCCAACGGAUUAGUAUACCUUCCGUUUCUACUAAUCUUAGCAAUUCUGUUCUCAAUUCCAUUAUACUGGCUAGUGGGGCUUAACAGAAACAUAAUAGCGUUUCUUCAUUUCAUGCUGUUGAUAUGGCUGAUUCUAUACACAGCAAAUUCAGUGGUGGUUUGUUUCAGUGCAUUAGUGCCAAAUUUCAUAGUGGGGAACUCAGUGAUAUCGGGGGUAAUGGGUUCGUUCUUCCUGUUCUCGGGGUAUUUCAUAUCGAACCAGGAAAUACCAAAGUAUUGGAUAUUUAUGCAUUACAUAUCAGUGUUUAAGUACCCAUUUGAAGGGUUUUUGAUAAAUGAGUUUUCGAGAUCAGGGAAGUGUUUGGAAAUGAUGUUUGGGGAAUGUGUAGUGAGAGGAGAGGAUGUGCUGAAGGAAGAAGGAUACGGGGAAGAAAGUAGGUGGAGAAAUGUAAUGGUAAUGGUGGGGUUUGUUUUGAUCUAUAGAUUUGUUUCUUAUGUUAUUCUUAGAUGUCGAUGCUGCAGGAAAACUGGUUUUGUUUAACAGAAAUGAAGAAGAACGAAGAUGAAGAAGAUGAAGAAGAUUGAAGAUCGAAGAAGAAGAAUAAGGACAAAAAAAAAUCUCUCUCUUCACGAGUUUGGAUUUGAAAGAUGCUCUUAGUUCACGUGGUAGUUUUAAUUGUAGCCAAAGGUUAUACUCACACGUGUUUCUUUGUUCUUUCGGAUUUUUAUUUUUAUUUUUUGCCCUUUCUCUCUAACUAUAUAUAUAUAUAUAAUAUAUGUAAAAUUUUCUUUUAAAUUAACAAUUUGGUGUGUGGUUUGUUCAUCUAAGUUCAAAUUUAUUCAACCAAUUAUUUAGUAGAGAAAAGCUUAAAUGGUGAAAGUGAUUUUAAGUAAUCAAAAUUUCUUCUUACAAAAAUUGUGAAGUAUCAUGAAUAUUUCUUUUACAUAAUUCUUUUCUUCGGUAAAAGAUAAGUUCAGGUUAAACAAAACUAUUUUUUUAUUUAUUUGCCAAAUAUGAUAUUUAACAUAUUAUUACUUAUGAAACACAAAUAAAAGAAAGAAAGAAAAAAAGAUCUGUAAACAUAGAUUCAGAAAUCCAUAUUAAUAGAGAUAAAUCGUGUUAAUACCAUUAAAACAUACAUGCUUUGAAAGAACUAAUUUCAAAUGUUAGUUGUUUUAGGAAAAGAACAAGCAAAACCGAGAACAAUGACUAAGCAAACAAAACGUAGAUCCAAUCACAACUUUCAUAUAUGCGUGAGUAGUGUCACCUCAUUUCAACAACAAUCAUGGUUCAAGAUUUGAUUUAACUAACAAUUCUAUUCAUCACUCCCUAACUAUAGAAUCACCAAUUCAAUCAAUUAUAUCACCAUCAAAGAAAGAAAAAAAAUGGUAAAAAGUAUUUUUAUUUUUGAAUAAUUGAAAUGCUCCAUAGUUUUCAACCUUUAAUAGUUUAUUUAACAAAAAUUGUAAAACAUAGAAAUAUAUUCUAAAUAAAAUAAACGACAUAUAUCUCACAACUCCACCUUAACAAAUUUAACACUUGAAAAUAAACAUCAUGAAUGAAGACUAAAAAUCCAAACUUUCAAAAUUAAUAAAAAAAAUUCUCAAAUUUGAAUGAUUUUUAGAAAAGCUCUACAAAUAGUGUCUCUUCCCAAACUCGGUUAUUCCAAUUCUUUUUCUUUACCGUUAUUUUCCCCCUUCUUCAUCAAUAAUUUAUAAAACACUCUCCCAAAUUCCAUCCCCACCCCAUCCCUUCUUCUAUAAAACAAUGGACAAACACACGGUAACCUCCGAUGAACUUCUCGGAAUCAAAAUCUACACCGAAGAACACGCCAACGGCGGUGGGCGGAAAAGACGAGCAAUGGCAAAAGGAAUGCAAAAAACACGCUCAAAAACCUCAAUGCUAGCUAGUAAACUUCCUUCCAACCGGCACUCUCCUAACCUUCGAAAUGCUUCUGCCGUCGGUCUCCGGCAAGGGGGAGUGCACGCGGGUGAACACGAUGAUGAUAUAUAAACUUCCUCUUGGGCUUAUGCGCUUCUAUCCUGUUUCUUGUUUCACUUCACAGACAGUUUCAAAUUAGGCGUGGACGGGAAAGUUUAUUACGGGAUCGUGACGCGGAGAGGGCUGGCGGUGUUCAAGACGGGGUUGAGUGAGGUGGAAGUGGCGAAGGAGGAGAGGUUAUGGAAAGCUUUCCUUUGAUGGUGGGAAGCAUUUGUAGUGCUUUGUUUUUGGUGUUUCCUAAUACUAUAUAUUAUAUGGUAUUGGUUGUAUGGCUAAUUGACUCUAUUACCCCCCACCUUUUUUUUCUUUUUCUUAAUUGUUAGGAUUUUUUUAAUAAUUAUUAUUCUAAUUUUACUAAACUAUAAUCACCAAUUCAAUCAAUUAUAUCUAUAAAAGAAGAAAAAAAUUGGUUAUAUCUAUAAAAGAAGAAAAAAAAUUGGUUGUAUGGUCGUGUAUGUUGCCAUGGCCUUUGUUAAUUCUUCGAAACUAGAAAGAACAAAGAUCUCACAUAUUCAUACAGGUGGAAAAGAUAGAAACAUGCAUCGUUUUGAUUGAAACUUCUUUUAUUGAUAGAGGACGAAAAAACAAAUACAAGUAGUCAUACACCUAAAAAACGAUCAUCCAAAUCAAAAGAUAUGACCUAGAAACUAUCCAUUUCUCAUGUGUCGUCAAAUUUUGCCUAAUUGCUUCUUAGAGAUAGUUUGUUUUAGCUCCAUUUUCGUCCUUACACUCAAUUGUGCUUCUUUGAUGCUUAAAACCAGUAAAAUAAUCAAACAUAAUAAGAACCUAGAAUUAAGUGAAGCUAGAUAACAUAUUUAUGGUGCUAUCAUUUAUUUACCAUUUCACACUAUAAUUUUAUUAUUUCUAGUUUAUCUUACCAAGCCAGUGUCAAUUUUCUUUUCUCAUUCUCAAUGUUCUUUUAUUUGCUUCAAAAAUUCAAUUUGAAAAAAAAAAAUGUGAGAAAGUUGAGAAUUGAAGAGGAAAAAAAAGAACAAAAUUAGUUUUUUUUUUUGUUUAUUUGAUUAAUUAAUUCAAGAAUGUUGAUUAUGUUUGAGUAUUGACAUGAAAUAUUUAUCGAAAAAUUAGGAAGAAUUUUCAUCAUUUGUUGAAAUCAAAGUAAGGCUCUCUCUAAAAGUGCUUGUAAAAUUUGGUAACAAAAUAGGGUUUAAACCAAAAGAUUAUAAAAGAAGAAAAAAUAAUAAUUACUAAUAAUUAAUUAACAUUGUUGGGGCAGCCCAAAGAACGGUUGUGACCUCCAUUGCAGAAACAGAAGAACAAAGCUCAUUUGGUUGUAAAACCAAUAGAACGAAUCGAAAGCCUCCCUUGAGAGUUAUACAGUUGAAAAUGGAGCUUCAAGAUUUUGCGCCAAUUUUUGGUAAACCCACCAGAGUGGAGUGGGUAAACAGGGGUUCACUUUCUUUGCUCCAAUUUUUGUUCCAUGUUUAUUCUCCAAAUCCUUCGCACCUCAGAUUUCUUGUUACUGAUUUUCAUUCUAACACUUGGGAAUCCACCAAAUCAGCUUUCCAGCUUGAGGAUAUGGUGGGCAUCUUUGAUUUCUCCCUGUACGUCGUCUCUUUGUUGCAUCCUUCUUCUUUGAUUUCUAUUAAUAUGUUGUUCUUGCUUCUUUUUUUCCUCUUAGCAAAUGAUGAAAUGGGAUUGUUUUUUAGAAUUUGUUGGUGCGAAAAGCUCUACUAUUUUAUGUAAUCUUUGAUACAGAGAGAUGACAUUGGAAUUGGAGGGGCUUUUUCAGAGUUUGUUGAUUAUAUUGUUGCAUCUAUGAAAUUUGGAGAUGUAAGGCUUUGUAUGGAAGGACAAUCGGGGAAAGAUGGUAAUCUUCCUGAUAUGUAACUAAUUCAAAUUCUCUUUCCCAUUCAAUAUAUUGUGAAACUCACUCCUUUUUUUAUUAUUCUACAGGUGCAGCAUCUGUCAAACUAAUUGCUCAGAAAUCAAAGGGAAUGCCUGUAUUUUCCAUUUCUCUCACAAAACUUGUUGACUCUGCUGCUGCUGAAGCUAUGGCAACUAUGUCCUUGGGGCUUUUUAACUCAUUAAAAGAAAAGGAGUGUUCACUUAUGAAAGGUUUUCAUCGCUUAUCUAUAGACUGCCUAUAUUCUGUGCUAUAGUCAUCAAAUAUGUCGAUAUCGUUUGGUUAGAAAAAAAAAGAAUACAUUUUUAUAGUGUUUGAACAGAAGGAAAGAUGUUGGAGGUUCUUAUGAAAUAUAGUGAUCGGGUGGGCUCAGUGUGUGGAUCAUUCUAAUUAGAUGGAAGGAUAGGCAUCUUUAGUUUCUUUUCCCUUUUUGUUCCAUCUAGAUUUUGGUAUUUGGCUUUCAUUUCUCUCAAAUAACUUCUCACAGCAUUCUACAAAAUUGUUUGGUAUUUUGUUAAGGCCUUAGCCACAAUUUUAUUUAUCAACUAUGGGGAAGGAUUUGAGAGUUCCCCAAUCUCUCCACACUACUCUAAUGAGAGUCUAUACCAAAAUCAUUUAGCCAAAAAGAUACCCACCCCCAACAUUCACAAUACCUAAAUAGGCAAACUCUAAGAAAGCUAACAGAAUACUUGGCCCCACUUUAACAGUCAUACUCCUAAGGGCCCACCUUACGGGAAAUUACUAACUAACUCUCAAUCAUUCUUUCUUCUUCCCACUUUUAUUCCUAUGUGAAUACACCUUUACUAUGGGGGGUCUAUCAAAUUUGUAUCUGAACAUUGGCAUGUUGCAUUUUUUGUUAUGAAUUAUGCAUAUACAAAAUAAUUGUCUUAUAUUCAAAUGGAUAUAUUAGAAUGUGUCAACUCUCCGGUGUGUCUGUGAACUUUAAGAAUACCUAAUUUUGGUUCCAUUCGUAUGUGAUGGGCCAAUCCAGUCAAGCUGAUUUGAAGUAGGGAAAUAAACACAGUACUCUCAAUCAAAUCUGUCUUGGGAAGCUGUUUCUUUUUAGUCUCCCAUUGGUGUGGUUUUGUAGGACUGACUCAAAUAUCAUGUGCGAACUGCUUGAAAAUGUUUGUACUUGAAAAUUACUUUGUUUAGACUUUAGGGUACCGUGUUUAUUGAACAACAAACUACGUGAUGUACAUGGUUUUAGUUUUUCUUUCUUUAUUAUUAUUAUUUUUUUUUGGUAACUGUGAUAGCAUAGUUUGAUGUAAUAUUCAUUUAUAGGUUAAAUUUAGAACAAGAUUUUUCUCAGAAAUGUUCAAUUUUUUGCAUGCUUGCAUUGAAACUUAGCAUCUGUAGCAUUGACUUUUCUCCUAUACUGUUCUUUCAGAACAAGAGCACUCCCUUCAGUUGACAACCAUGAUAUCAACUGAAAAGGUAUAUCCAUCUUCGUCUUGCACCACUGUAAAUAAAUAUGAUACAUGGUGAUGGGCACUUUUAGUUUUAUACUUAUCGAUAGACUUCAUUAAUAAAUACAUUUAAUAAUACACAAUAUAACGAUAACAAGAUUUCUUCUGAUUUCUUCUCUUCCACAGCCUCUCUUAUAUAUCAGAACUCAAACAGUUUACUCUAGUCAAUACUGUUCCCUGUUAUUAGUCUGCAUAUGUUUUGUUAAUUUUUACUUCCUUUGAAACUUUAUUUAUUAAAUGUUAAUAAGAAAAAAGAUUAAAAAUUAAAAAUGAAGAACACGGAUGUUCUUUAUGUCUCACUUAUUCUUUCAUUAUAUAUGACCUCAUGUAACUUUGUUAGCCAUUUCUUGGUUGAAAAACAUUUUCCAUUACAAUACCAAUUGCUUCCUUAUCCCCUAUGGAUUCAACUCAUGGGUCUUUGAGUUUCUCUAUUUUUGUAUUAAACAUUUCUUAUUUGAGAUUAUACUUUUUGUUGAUGUCAGGAAAAGAACGAAAAUAUCCAAACUCAGCUCGGGCAAUAUAGAAAGAAACAGAAGUUACAAAAUAUGAAUGCCUCAAAUUCUCCUGGUAUGUUCCUAUAAUCAAUCCAUUUAAGGUAUUAUGAAAUUAUAUGUUAUGUACUAAAGGACUGAUCGAUUUUUUCCGUUCUUCACAGAUAAAUCUGGCGUACAUAAUAUUGGCUUGACAAAAGCCACCAAUCGUGUGGUGCCAGUACACCGGAGGUCGGUUUCUCAAAGUUACAUUCAUCACAUAAUUCAAUUGAUUUAUUCCCAAUACUAAUAGAUGUACUUAGCAUUGUAUUUGAACAGGGCGAAAGCUAGGGGUGCCCUUCUGCAAGACUCUGAAGAUGACAAUGGUAGGUAGAGAAGUUGAAUGUCUUGUAUCCAAUCUAGUUUUGUACAGAAUUUUGAUUUCUGAAAAGCUGCUCUAGCCAAUCACUCUCUUCCCUUUGAAUGGAGAAAAAAAAUCCCGUGGUAUUGAGUUCCUCAAUGGUUUGCUUAAAAAGGAACAGGAAAUCCUUGUUUAGGGUCAAGAGGCUAUCUCCCUGUCGUUAUCCCAAAGCUUUAAAACUUUUGUUUCUUCCAUGCAAGUUUUACUUUCUAGCACAUCCACGUUAAAUGAUCUCAUUUUUUCAUAUAUUUUCUUUUAAUCUACACUAAUAGAGAUGUUCCUUCCAUUUUUUUCCCAUUUUUUCUUACAGAAAAAGAGCGCUCCCUUCAGUCGACAUUCGAGGAAAAGGUAUAUUCAGUCUCCUGUCCCCUUUAUGAAUAAAGCACUUUGUCCUUUUAUAGACGGGUUCUUAUUGUCUUGAAAUACCUCAAAAUUAGUACAAGUAUGACCAUAGUCGUGGUGUAUUUUUGGUGCCUUCGGAGCGUAUUUUCAUCUUGCUCAUUAAUUGUUUGUAAAUUUUUUAAUCUACUUUUGAAUAUGUCAGGAAAAGAAAGAGGGGUUGCUAAAUACAGAUACCUUGGCCAUUGUAGACAAUCUUCAUAAGCCUCCUAGUAUGUUUUUUAUGGUUCCCUCUAAAAUUUAAGCUUAUUUGUUUUUAUUGAAAAGAGAGACAACGAGUUCACACCAAUUUACGUGGAAACUCGAGUACCGGGAGAAAAACCACGAUUGUUUGUUGUUAUUAUUUUCUAAUGAAUAAAACAAUAGGUACAGGGAGAAUAAAUAGAGUACACAAUGGAAUAAAAAAGGAAAAGAUUUAGGAAAAUAAGGAAUACAUUCCCAUAAUCUUUCCAUAAUUAUUCUAGGAUUCUAACAAGGAAAAAGCCUAGAAAAAAAGGAAAGAAUUCCAACACUCCCCCUCAAGUUGGGACGUAAAUAUCAAUGAGGCCCAACUUGCUAACGCAAAGUCGAAGUUUGGUCUGAGAAGCCCUUUGGUAAGAACAUCAGCAACCUGUUGACUCGAAGGGAUGUACGGAAUGCAUAUGCUCCCACUGUCAAGUUUUUCUUUGAUAAAAUGUCGAUCAAUCUCAACAUGUUUAGUUCUAUCAUGUUGAACAGGGUUGUUAGCAAUACUAAUAGCGGCUUUAUUAUCACAGAAAAGCUUCAAUGGUGUCUCACAUUCCUGAUGAAGAUCUGUCAAAACUUUCUGAAGCCAAAUUUCCUCACAUAUUCCUAAACUCAUAGCUCUGUAUUCAGCCUCAGCGCUGCUCCUGGCCACAACACUUUGCUUCUUACUCCUCCAAGUUACAAGAUUGCCCCAAACAAAGGUACAAUAACCAGAGGUAGAUUUUCUGUCAACAACAGAUCCUGCCCAAUCCGAGUCAGUGUAUGCCUCAAUGGUCUUUCUGUCUGUUUUUCUAAACAUCAGCCCUUUACCAGGUGUUGAUUUUAAGUAUCUCAAGAUUCUGUUGACAGCUUUCAUGUGUUCCUCAUUAGGGGUCUGCAUAAACUGGCUGACAACACUCACAGCAAAGGAAAUAUCAGGACGAGUAUGAGAUAAGUAAAUUAAUUUACCCACGAGGCGUUGAUACUGUUCUUUAUCAACUGGAACUUGAUCAUCAGAGUUUCCUAGUUUGCAGUUGAAUUCAAUAGGAGUGUCAGUGGGACGACAUCCUAACAUACCUGUCUCGGUUAACAAAUCAAGGAUGUAUUUUCUUUGAGAUACGGAGAUACCUUCUUUAGAUCUGGCCACCUCCAUUCCAAGGAAAUAUUUCAAAUUUCCCAAAUCCUUGAUUUCAAACUCAUCGCCCAUUCUCUGCUUUAGUUGACUGAUUUCUGCCUGAUCAUCUCCAGUCAAAACAAUGUCAUCCACAUAAACUAUUAGAACAGCAAUCUUUCCUGUUUUGGAAACCUUUGUAAAUAAAGUAUGAUCAGAGUGUCCCUGCCUGUACCCUUGGGACUUGACAAAGGUAGUGAAUCUGUCAAACCAUGCUCUGGGAGACUGUUUCAGACCAUAUAUAGAUUUCUGGAGUUUACACACAUGCUGACCAAACUGGGCUUCAAAUCCAGGCGGAGGGCUCAUGUAGACUUCCUCUACGAGGUCUCCAUUCAAAAAGGCAUUCUUAACAUCCAGCUGAUAUAAAGGCCAAUCUUUGUUCACAGCAACAGAUAACAGAACUCUAAUAGUAUUCAACUUAGCAACUGGAGAAAAAGUUUCUGAAUAGUCAAUACCAUAGGUUUGAGUAAAUCCCUUCGCAACUAACCUUGCCUUGUGUCUGUCAAGAGUACCAUCAGCUUUGUAUUUGAGAGAGAACACCCAUUUGCAUCCCACAGUUUUGUGUCCCUUAGGUAGAGUACAAAUGUCCCAAGUACUAUUCUUUUCAAGAGCUUUCAUCUCUUCCAUGACAGCAUUCUUCCAUUCAGGAUACUUUAAAGCAGUGUAGAUAUCUUUUGGUAUUAUGGUAGAGUCAAGGCUUGCUGUAAAAGCUCUGAACUGAGGAGAGAGACUAUCGUAGGAAACAUAAUUGCAAAUGGGGUGUUUAGUACAAGACCUGGUGCCUUUUCUCAGAGCAAUGGGAAUGUCAAGAGAGGAAUCAUACUCAUCUGAUUUUCCUGUAUGACCCUGUUCCGCUUCAUUAUUACGGGUUUCUAUUCUGACCUCAAUCUCAUCACCACUGUCCUUUUCUUCCACGUUUUCAAGAACAGCAACAUUAGACCUGUCAUUCUCACUUAUCAUAUUCUUAGUACAGGGUUCAGUAGGGUUUUCCAUACCUUGAUCUCGAGGAGGUUCAGAGUCUUGGACUGGAGCCGGCGGCUGACUAGUAGGGGAACCGACUUCCUUUUUGUGAUUCCUCCUGUAGUACGUUUUCCAGGGGACUUGGUUUGUGGGUAGGACUAUGGAAUGAGGAAUGAUGUUAGACACGACACUAGGAGUGGGUUCGAUGAAUUCAAAGGUGUUGUUAGACUCUUCACUCACACUCUCCCCCUGAAGAUGGCUAACGGGAAAGUAGGGUCGAUCCUCACAGAAAGUAACAUCCAUAGUGACAAAGUAUUUUCUGGAUGGUGGGUGAAAACAUUUAUAACCACGCUGGUGAGGGGGAUACCCAACAAACACACAUGCCUGAGCCCGAGGGGUAAAUUUGGUUUGAUUAGGGCCAAAAUUAUGGACAUAAGCGGUACACCCAAACACACGAAGAGGAACCUCAGAAACAUGACGAGUCGAUGGGUAGGACUCCUUAAGACAAUCUAAGGGAGUUUGAAGAUGAAGAAUACGAGAAGGCAUUCUAUUGAUUAAAUGAGCUGCUGUAAGAAUAGCAUCUCCCCACAAGUAUGAAGGAAGGGAAGUAGAAAGCAUAAGGGAACGGGCUACUUCCAGAAGGUGACGGUUUUUUCGCUCGGCCACUCCAUUUUGUUGAGGAGUGUAGGCGCACGAGUUUUGAUGAACAAUCCCCUUGGAAGCAAGAAAUUCACUAAGGUUAUGGUUUUGGAAUUCCCGACCAUUAUCACUCCGAAGAAUAGCAAUUUUUUGAUGGAAUUGUGUUUCAAUGGUGUGAUAGAAAUUUUGAAACAUAGAGGAAACCUCAGAUUUAUCAGUGAUAAGGUAGACCCAGGUAAGACGGGUAUGAUCAUCAAUGAAGGUUACGAACCACCGUUUUCCAGAUGAGGUUGUUAUCUUGGAUGGUCCCCAGACAUCACUAUGAACAAGAGUGAAGGGUUGGGUUGGUUUGUAUGGUUGUGAGGGAAAAGAGACUCGAUGUUGUUUGGCCUGAAUACACACAUCACAAGAUAAGGUAGUCAUCUCAACUUUAGAGAAGAGAUGUGGAAAUAAAUGUUUCAUAUAUUGAAAAUUAGGGUGGCCUAAACGAAAAUGCCACAACAUACAAUCUUGUUCAGAAGUAGUGAAAUAGGAAGAUAAGAGACUAGUCCUAGGAAUGCUACUAGAAGAGGUAUCGUCAUCAAGGAGGUAGAGUCCCCUACUAUGCCGGGCAGUGCCAAUCAUCCUCCCCGAGCUCAAGUCCUGAAAAGAGACAGAAUCAGGUAAGAAUAUUGCUUUGCAGUUUAACUCAUGAGUGAUCUUGCUUAUCGAAAGCAAAUUAUAAGAUAGUUUGGGCACAUGCAAAACAUUAUGUAAGGAGAGCCCUGCACAAGGAGAAAUCUUCCCCUUUCCAGCAAUGGGGGCCAAGGAGCCAUCUGCAAUUCUAAUUGUCUCGUUCCCAGCACAAGGAAUGUAAGAUACAAAAUGUUCAGAGGACCCAGUCAAAUGAUCUGUGGCACCAGAAUCCAGAAUCCAGGGGUUCUUCCCAUCAAUACUAACAAGACCGAAGGAAUGAGGUAUACCUGAUUGGACAAUGGCACCUAAAGUGGCAAGACUGAGAUCAGUUUGGUUUUUGUGUGGAUCGGAUUGUUGAGGAGGUUCAGCAGACUCACUCACAUACGCCCGCCCUGUGUUCUGUUUGUCGUUGGAAGGGCGUUUCUUACUUCCUGGGGGACGACCAUGUAACUUCCAACAUUGUUCUUUGGUAUGCCAUUGUUUUUUGCAAUGCUCGCAGACAGGAAUUGGUUUUCCAUUAUGCUUGUCACUGCUACUGUUAGAAGAUCUUGCACUAAAAGCAGCAGAGUCAAUAGUAGGGGUUGCGGAAAUAUUCAUAGCACUUGUGCGAUCUUCCUCGAGGCGGAUUUCAGAGCAAACUUCCAUCAGGGAGGGAAUCGGUCUUUGACCUAGUAUACGCCCUCGAACUACAUCAAACUUAGGAUUAAGACCAGCAAGAAAGUCAUAAAUCCUGUCAUUCUCUUCAAUUCUCGAGUACUGUACACCAUCAGUGGGAUCACGCCAGACUAGUUCUCUGCAUAGGUCCAUUUCUUGCCAUAUAAGAGAAAGCUUAUUGAAAAAGGAUGUGACAUCCAUGGUUCCUUGCUUGCAUUCAUGAACUUGCUUUCUCAGCGUGUAUAGACGAGAGGCAUUCUGACGUUUUGAGUAAAGUGUCUGGGCUGUGUCCCAAAUAUCCUUGGCUGUUGCAGCAAACAAUAACGGCUUGCCAAUUUGAGGUUCCAUACUAUUGAUCAAUAUGGAUCGAAGAAUAGAGUCUUCUGCCUUCCAAUAUCGUUCAUGUGGGUCGCCCGGUAGGGGGCGAGGUAUUUCCCUGUCAGAAAGCUAAAUUUUUGUCGUCCUUCGAGGACCAUCUUUACUGACUGAGACCAUGAGAAAUAGUUGUUGCCAUUCAACUUUUCUCCUGAAAGAUGAUACAUGGAAGACUGAGCCACCGUAUUAGUCACAUAAGGAGAGGAUACAUUAGGGAACGAGUUUACCGGAUUCUCAGAAUACAUCGGUAGAGUGGAUGUCGUCCCUAAGGUAGCCUCAAGUGCUGCUAUCUGUUGUCGAAGCCCUUCCAAUUGUUGAUGAACUAUUCCCGAGGAAGCUUGCACGUUACGGUUGGAAUAUGCCGAAGAUUCACCAACCUCAAAUGUUGAGUGAAUUUGAGAGUUUUUAACAUCGGGAUGGUAGCUAGGAUCAUUGGGUGGCUGGCCAUACAGAUUUGACGAGCAGAAGCGGUGGUAGCCGAUUGGAAUUAGAUGGCAGAACAUAAAUCGGGGCGUGGGGAGCAAUAUAGGCCGCGGACGAAGAAAAGGGUUGGACAGAUGGGAUGGUCGGCGCCGUCUGAGGAAGAAAACCAGGCGCGUGGUGGUCCGGUGACGGCGCGGACGACUGCGGUAAUGACGAAAAAUUAUUUUCGGACGUUUUCUGUAGCCGGCUUAAUAAUUCGUCCAUGGCAGCACUCAUCCGAGCAUCGGUGGCAGCAGCUACGGCAGCACUAAAAUUGAUGGUUGUCCCUUCUGUUUGAUUUUAAUCAGUGGUUUGGUUUUUUUGGGUUUCUAGGGUGUUUUCAUUGUCCCGCUCUGAUACCAUAUUGAAAAGAGAGACAACGAGUUCACACCAAUUUACGUGGAAACCCGAAUACCGGGAGAAAAACCACGGUUGUUUGUUGUUAUUAUUUUCUAAUGAAUAAAACAAUAGGUACAGGGGAGAAUAAAUAGAGUACACAAUGGAAUAAAAAAGGAAAAGAUUUAGGAAAAUAAGGAAUACAUUCCCAUAAUCUUUCCAUAAUUGUUCUAGGAUUCUAACAAGGAAAAAGCCUAGAAAAAAAGGAAAGAAUUCCAACAGUUUUCAAGGUUUAAGAACACUUUUGGUCCCUGAGCUUUCACGAAAGUAAUAAUGUAUUUCCUAAACUUUAAAAUGCAAAAAUUUUGUCUAUUUACUUUCAACUUUGUAUGGACUUUAGUCUCUAUGAUGAAAGUGUUCAUUCAAAUUAAGUGUUAAUUUAUAUUACAUAAUGGCUUAGUCUUCAUAGUUUAUAUGUGAAUUUGAUCAUCAAUGAGUUAUAAACCUACCCGGGUAAGAAACUUAACUCAAUCACAAUAAUAAUUUCCACCAUAGAGAUUUGGUUCUUACUAAUUGUAAAUUACAAGAACUAAAUUGUUACAUUUUAAAGUUAAGGAACUAAAUUGUUAAUACAUUUGCAAGAAUGAGGACUAUCUUUUUGUUACCAACUAAAGUUGAGGGUCAAAAUCGUUAGUUUUAUGCUAGUUUAGGGACGAAAAGUGUUUUUUAAUUAUUCGCUACACAGAACUCAUUAUUGAAUUAUCUUAUUCUUAACAGACAAAUCUGUUCAUGAUAUCGGCUCGACAAAAAUCACCAAGCAUGUCGUGCCAACACAUCACAGGUUGGUUUCUUGACUAAAUGAACCUAAUUUUGUUUGUUAUUUCCCCACGAACGAUGGUAAACAUACUGUAGCAUUGUACUUGAGCAGGGCAAGAACACGAGGUGCCCUUCUGCAAGAUAACGAAGAUGACGAUGGAAGGUAAAAAAAACAAGACAGUUUCAAAAUGUUGAGUCCUUGUGUUCAAAACUAGUGUUAGACAUGGAGUAGGUAAACAAAAUAAUAGAUAUGAUUGUGCAAUGCAGACAUUUCUUUGUUGUAUAUGAUUACGUAAUUCUCAUCUAACUUUGGCUUUCUGCUCAAUUUAGAUUCGAAAAUGUGUAAAUUUUCGAAUGACGAGUAGAUACAAAUUUGAAAUAUAUUGUGCAGCUUAAAACAAGUCACAGUGUGAGACUUUUCAUUAAUUUCUCAAACAAAUCAGCACUUGUUGACAACUUUAUAUUACCAUAUGAGUUAGCUUGAAAAAUAUUAUUAUUAUUAUUAGAAUGUAGAACACAUUUUAAUUUCCAAUAUAUCACGUUCUACAAUUUUUUAAACAUUUAUUUUCAAAACUCUUGACUUUUCUUUAGAAAAAACCAAAAGCUUUUGUUCCAAUAUAUCAGGUUGUAGUCUUUGGCCCUUGAAUUUUGUUAACAUUUAUUUUCAACUAUAUUGACUCUUUCUUUAGAAAAAAUAAAAAAAAAAUUCAAACGAUUACCGAUAAUAAAAAUAGAUAAAGAUAUAAUUUGAAAGAUAUUUAUGAAUAAGUUUAUGAGUAAAAAUAGAUAAAGAUAUAAUCUAAAAGUCGUAUCAUUAAUAAAAGUUUAUCAAAUCAAAAAAUUUAUUACGAAAAAAAAAUAUAGAUAAUCUAACGAAGAGGGAAUCCAAAAAUGAUGAUGUAAAAAGGAAUGAAAAAGCAUUAUCCCCACACUUUAGUUUCUCGUACAAUGAGAACCAUCCAAAUUGUGACAAAGACAGAAAUGAGAUAAGCACAAACCACCAUUAUUGCAAUACAACAAUCAACUAAACUCAAACUCACUCACUCACCUAGACACAACUUUUAAUGCACUCUUUUUGAAAAAGCUUUCCCAAACAAAAGAAGAAGAAAAAAAAACUUAUAUAAUGUGUUGUAUACAAAUUAUUUAUGUUUAUAUGCAGAGUUGCAUUCAUGAACCACUGAUAUAUAGUGAAACUGAUAUGAGUUGUAACUUUUGUAGUUCUAUUUCAUUGGUGCCUCAUAUGGAAGUGGUGGUGAUUGGUGGGUCAUAUACUCAUUAAGAACAAAAAUAAUAAUAAAUCAAAUGAAAAAGUUACUUUUUACUUUUUAGAAAAAGCGAUUGCAAAUGACUAAGUAAUGGAGACAUUGAUAGGUCUAUCAAUAUAUUUAUAUAUAUUAGGUGAGGCAAUUGGAUUAGAAUGAUAAAAUAGCAACUUUUAUCCAAUCAAUUACUUUAUAAAUGUUAAAAGAAGAACGAAGAAAGAGUUGUUUUUCAAAUUAAGCAACAUAAACUCUAUAUUUUGACAACAAAGUUAAAAAGAUAACUUUAUAUUUUUCUUCUUCUUUUAUAAAGAUAUGAUUGAACAUACACCAUUUCAGGAGGUGUCGGUGUCCACUAACAUUAUGCCCAUCCCAUGGUUGCUUUCAUUUCAAAAGGAUCAAAAUUUGGAUAUGAACUCUUACAUUUUGCCUUUUGGUGUUACCUAACUUUUCUUUAAUUAAAAUUAAAGUGUGUUUAGUUUGGAGCAAUUCUAUGUUCGGUGACUUUUUGAAAAUUUUCUUAGAAUGGAUGUGAGUGAAAACAAAACAUGCUGAAAUGACUCUAAUUGGUUCGUGGAACAACUUUCACUCUAAUAAGUCUUUAAGACAAGUAAGAAUGAUAUUGUCAAGUCGCAAGUAAUUAGACGUUACAGAUAUAUAGUUUUAUUUAUAUAUAAACACAUAUCUACAUUAGUGAGGGUCAUACGUUUUACAGAGUGUUUGUAUUUACUCAGUAACACUAAUAUCAUUUUCACACAUUUAAAUUUAUGCACGUUAUAGAUUUUAUUAGGUAUGUAUACAACUUAAUAACACUAGUAAGUAUAAUGUUUUGUUGGUGUAUAUACAUAUAUACAUAAUACGUCUACGUUUUUGCAGAUUAUUGAUUUAGUAACUUUCUUUGGGUGAAUUCAAUUUGUUUUUUUUUGUAACAAAACUAAAUUGUAAAGUCUAGUGUUAGAAAGUAUGGUUUCUCUCCUUCACCCUUUGUUUAAUAAUUUUAAUAAUUUUAAGUUUUAAUAGAUUGUGUUCAUAUUAAGACGAUGGCAUAAGCAGAGUUGGGUGUGGGGCACCGCCGUCACCACCACUACCAAUCUUCAACAAAUCACUUUAACGACGUAUGGGUAAAGGCAGUUAGUAUUAUUGGGUUAAUCAAUUUUAAAUACAUCUUGUACCACUAAAUUCUUUUACUUUAUUAUCUGUUUUUUACCAAACCAAAUCUUUCUUACACUACAAGAGUUUUUUUUCUUUUUCUUUUUUAUCUUUAUAAAAAAAAUACAAACCAUCAUAAUAAGAAAUUAAGAAAGAAGUAAAAGUUAAAAAUCAAAGGUUAAUCAAACGGAUCUUCAAUGUUGAGCUAUUACCAUUUAUAUCCACGAUUUGUUUAAAUAAUAUUUAAAUUCUAAGUCUUCAGUCAUUUUGUGAUUGAGUAAUUUUUAAUAUCAUCCUUCAGAAAAGAAAAGGAUUAGGAUUAGGAUUGUCCUAAUGGGAGUGGGAGUGGGAGUGGGGAGUAGAGAAUUUUGUGAGGAUGAAGAUGGGAUAGGGGGGCGGGGACGGGGAUCGGUAGUGGCAUCCCCGGCCCUCCUCGUCCCGUGGACAUCUCUACUCCUCAUCCCCGUCCCUCACCAUUAAUACCGCGCAUAAGGAGUGAUCCAUUUCCGAUAACGAAAAUCGUGCGUGGGGAAUGGUCCCAACGCUCGACGCGCAAGUGAAACCGUCGUGUGUCGAGUGAUGGAUCUUACAAGGUGGGUGGGAGGGGACGGGGGGGGGGGGGGGGGGGGGGGGGGGAAUAUUUAUAAUUUUAAUUAAGAAGGAUAGAUAUUGAAGAGAGGAAUGAGAAAUUAGAAUGAAAUCAAAACAUUAUAUGGUAGAUGAAACUUAACAUAAAUCAAAGCACAUAGAAACUAAAUAGAAGAGAGAGAGAGAGAGAGAGUUGGAUGAAUUCAUUUGUUGGUGGUGGAGGAUGAGUUGGCGGCGAUGCCGAAGUUGCCUGUGGAGAGAAAUUGGUUUUUGAGUGCGCUCCUCGACGCCGGAUAUUGAGAAGAAUAGGAAUAACCCGGAUAUGGAGUAGUACAUGGUUUCGAUUUCCGUUCGGCGCCGGACUUCAUUUUUUCUCCGUCUUUGUCUUUUGAUUUUUGCUUAUCGCUUCUCUCACUCAUCUUUUCCCCUUUCAUAAUAUUAUCUUCCACCUUCCAAAUAAUAAUAAUUGAGCUUGAGCCACCCACGCAUUUAUAACCUUAAUUUUACACGUGUCUUUUUCUUUUUACUCUUUUAAAUUUUCCAUAAAAUUACAUAUUCUAUAUACAGCUUACCUUCAUAAACCCUAUCUACUGUUGAAUCACUUUAUCUUUACUAUUUAGGAUAAUUUUCUAUAAUCAUAAAGGCAGAUGAAAUUUUAAUUUGGUUGCUAUGAUUCCAAAAAAAUAUAAUUCAUAUAUUUCGGCUAAUAGCAAAGAAUUCCACGUCAGUGACUAUUUCAAUUCAUAUAUUUUGCCAAGUGGAUGAUUUCAAGGUACAGUAUGAUCCAAUAGUUCACUGACACGUUAGUGAUGGUGUGGGAUCUUGCGUUGGUGACGUUAUAUAUAUGGCGUCAUUUACUUACUUUUAAUUACUAUUAUUAUUAUUAUAAUAUCCACUAGUGUAUAUCUGAUUCAUUUAUUGCUUCCUCCAACUUAAAAAAAAAAAGAAAGUAAACUAGAAAAAUAAUUAUUAAAAUACAAAAUUCAUUACUCUUUUCUUUUUUUUUUCCCUUCUAAUUCUAAUCUAAAAAACUUUAAACAUUUCCUUUAUAACAAAACAAUAAACAAACUUGUUUGAUUUUACUUUUUUUUUUCUUAAAUAUGUUAAUAUUUUUUCUUUUAUAUGUGAUGAGAAUAAUUUUAAUAUCAAUUUAAAGUAUAAUUAGCCAUCGGUCAUCCAUAUAUUUUUGUCAACGUUUUUCUUUCUUUUAAUUUGACCAAAAUUCUUUAACUUGCGUAGUCGUUUUUCAUUCAAAUAUUUUGCUUUUUCGAUUAAUAUAUAGAUAACUGUUACAAAAAUGACUUAAUUAAGUUAAGAGGUGAAAUUUUUUAGACAUAUGUUUUUAUUAGUUACAUGUAUGGUUAUAAUGUUUUUGAGAUAUUUUAAUACAGUAUUGAAUUAAUAAUAUCGUCAAAGUAUGUAUUGUAGAAAAAAAAAUCUCUUUUGCUCAUCUCAUAUGACCCAUUCUUGAUUAAACAUAUAAAUAUAUUGAAUCUAUAUAAUGUGAUGUCAACAGUACUAUACAUUCUUGAUAAAAUUAUUUCUCAAAUUCUCAAUAAUUUACAAAGUAGAUAAGUAAGAAAUCAACAAAUUCAAAGAGGUUUAGGUGAGAUAGAUUUCUUAGAUGAAUUAUUGUGGAGAAUCGAAUUUAAUUAAUUAGUUUGUUAAUUAUUGCUUUUCAAUAUGUAAUUCUUUAAAAAUAUGUAUCCACUUGCCCAAAAGAUGUUAUUCUCUCAUUCAUCAAGAUUUUGGUACUUGCAAUUAUAGCCUCAAAAUUAUUGUUUAUUGUAAAUUGAAAUCUCAAAUUUGUUAAAAUUGGAUCCUAAAAUUUACAUAUAAUUAUUGGUAAAGAUAUGUUUUUGGUUUAAUUUUUAUCAUUUAGUGACCUAUUUUAACGUUGGUUUAAGUUCCAGAUUUAAACUUUUUCAAUUGAAAAUUUGAGAGUGUAAUUGUAGCGAUUACAAGUCCACACUUAGCUUCAACGAUGACUAAUUUUAGAAAAUUUUCUAAAAUAAUUAUUGAAGUGUUGCGUUUUGACAAAAUAUUAAAAAAAUAUUUGUUCGACAUUGGAAAAAUUAUAUUAGAAGAAAAACAGAGAGAUCAAUAUACUAUAAAAUAAGUCUAUGACUUUGGUUUUAAAUAACUGUCUUAAUUAGAAACCCUUUAAACAUAAAUAUAUUAACUCAAUCUAAAAUUCAUUCGACUAAUGCCUCUUCAAAGCUAGAUAGAGGAUCAUUUUCUCUUUAAAGGAAUCUUGCUCUUUUAUCUUCUUCUUUUGUUGUUGUCGUAGAAGAUUUGUAUUCUCUAGUUUAAAAGCAAAUUAAUCACUGUUAUAAAAAAGUUUUAAAAGAGUGCGUUGUAAUCGAGAUCAGUUGCUUUUUUAAAAAAAUAUUUAUUUAUGGUAGAUAUUAGAUGUCUAGUUAUCUAAGUCUAGAUCAUCUAUAUCUACGAUACUUCAUUAUAUUAGGAAAGCUUUAUAAUUGAUUACACAAUUAAUAGUUGAUAUGAUCGGUAGUUCGUUAUAUUAGGAAAGGUUUAUAAUUGAUUACACAAUUAAUAGUUGAUAUGAUCGAUUAGAAGAGUUGAGUGAUUUAAAUAUAUAUAUUAUAUUUAAUCUGCACGUUUAUUUGUUGGGGCUUUUAUUACUCAACACAAGAAGUUGAUAAGUUUCUUUCAAAACCGCCAUCUAAUUCUCACUCAAGUUGAUGAAAAUAUUCAUUUUAGUCUUUUCUUUGACUUCUCUUUUUCUAAGCAGGUGAUGCGUAAUCUAUUUUUUUCCCUCCUAAUUUAACUUUUUCAUCACUAUUUUAUUCCUAUUAUACACCUUUAUUUUUUAAACAAAAUAUAUCUAGAAUAAUUAAUGCAAAUGAAAUGAGAUGAGAUGAAUCGAACUCUAAUAUUUGAAUAAUAAGUUUUAAAUCAAGUUUGAUGGUGGUAGAGUUUUUAGAUUGAAAUGGAAUUAGUAAGAUAUAUAGAUUUUAAAGUAAGCUGUAAAAAAAAACCUUAUAUAUGUUGUUAAAUGUAUUUCAUUUAAAAGAAAAGGUAAAUAGAAAAGAAACAUCAAAUCAGUAGUGAGAGGCAGCUGAGAAGAUUAGUUGAAUUCAAAAGUUUUGGUGUCCCAAGUCAAUCACUUUAAAUAUAAAGACCAAAAGAGAAUUUGAUUAUUCAAAAAAGAAUAGCCCCUAAGAUCACCCUCAGUCCUCACUAUUGUUUUUGUUCAAAGUCUAUCUCUCUCUCAUACAUUAUCCAAUGUACAAGGAAUUAGAACCAACAUUUUGUCUUAACAUUGAAAAGAAAGAAAUAAUUUAUAAACUUUCAAGUUCCUAUAAAUUAAUAUUUGUCCUUUUCAAUUCGCUUUUUACCUCUUCAUUUUAAUUUGGGUCUAAAUUAUAUAUGCAUGAUUUAAUUUCUAAUUUCCAAUUGGCCUUAAUUAUAGUUUGAAUUGGUGGGACUUCAAUUAGCACACAAGCUCCUUUUAAUCAACUAUGUUUAAAAUUAGAGUGUAUUUGACUAUUUUGUAAAGGUAUUUUUGAGAAAAGUAAAGCUAAAUUAAAGGGAGGAAGUCAAUAGACAUAAUAGAAAAUCAAGAAAAAAGCUAAGACACAUUGAUAUGAUAUGAUAUGACAUGCCAAGUUGCAAAAAUUAUAUAUAUGAUGAAGUGUAUAUGGGGUGGUCAAGUCAAUUCAUUUUAAGAAUCAAAUCAGUAUUUGUCUUUCUUUAUUUAAAUUAAUAUAUGAUAAUAGGCAUGCAUGUAAUGGCAUAUUUUAGUACCAAAUGUAAUAAAUUAGGUAAAUAUGAAGAAGAGAGCCUUCAAAUACAUCAAAACAUCCCACCAAAAGAAAAGCAAUUGAUCAAUGAAAUGAUAUCCAAAAAAGCAUAAAGGUAAGAAGAACGUAAACAACAUAGAGCUAAAUUCAAUGGUAGAACUAAGCUUUUCCUUUUUUGGAUCUCCCAAAAUUAUUACCUAAAUUUGUGGGAUCUAAUGAGGAUGAAUGUUCUGGAGGUAUAAAUUGAGUUUUAAAUUCAAUUUUUAACCAAAUUUGACUCUCAUCCAUCUUUUCCUUUUUUAAAAUCUUAAUCACAAAUAAUAAUCCAAUAACAUUUAAUACCCUCUUUAAAUUAAAAAAUCAAAUCCAAAAUUCAUGGAUAACUAACCCCAAAAAGGGUAAUGUGUUAUUGGGUCUAUGUCGUUGUGCAUUUACUCUGUGUCUUUAAAGUGAUAUUAUGAUAGUGAGUAUAGAAAUGUGUUAAUAUGAAGUUGAGAUAACAUUCUUUAUGAACUUACUAAUUCAUUUCUUCUCCAAUUGCUUGCUCUCUCCUUCAACCAGUGAUAUGUGUGUGUAUAUAUAUAUAUAUAGACACAUAUUUUUCUGGUUAGGUAUUAAAUUAAAAUCUUCUAUUUUCUUGUUAAUUCGUAGUAUGAGAUCAAAAUGUGUAAUGGGAAUAUUGAUCUCCGUAAUUUAGAUAUUAUGCGAUUUCAUGAGAUUUUAUUUUAUUUGCAUUUAUUACCAUAGAAUAAAACAACAUCUUAUGUAAGAUUUUCGUUUGACUUUAUCUCUAAUAAUAAUAAUCUCCACCCUCUCAAUCUCUGCCCUCACCCACGCUCGCCAUCUCUCUCUCAUCCAUCAUUCGCUGAUAAUCUUCUCCUUCAUCAGUCUUAAGAAUAUAUCGUUUUUAGGGUUUUUUUUUUUUUUUUUUUUUGCUUGGAAGAGAAUUUCAAAUUAUAGCCAUGGGGAGAGGAAAACUGAGCAUGAAACUCAUAAGUAAUGAGAAAUCUCGAAAGACUACUUUUCAUAAGCGGAAAGCAAGUUUGUUGCGAAAAGCUUACGAGCUUUCCACAUUGUGUGAUGUUCGUGUUUGUGUGGUUGUUCAUGGCCCUAACCAAUCAAAUGACCAAUCUCCACUCCAACUUCACACAUGGCCGCCCUCUGCUGAUGAAGUCAAUAACAUGAUUGCUUCUUACAAAACUAAUUGUCUCUACAAACGUGUUCGCAAGUCAUUCGGUCUUAUCGAUUUCUUCUCCGAAAGAAAGAAGAAGGUCGAAACUGAUAUGUCCAAGCUUCGUAAGGAUGUUUCUGAAGAAAGGUAAUUAUAAUUAUAGUUAAAUAUGCAUGUUUGGAUUUACUAUUUGUUUAUAGUUUAACAAUCUUUGUGUGAGUUAAUUUGUUAUUAUAUUAUGAAUGUUGAUUAGGUUUCCAAGUUGGGAUGAACGUCUAGAUCAUCUCUUAGAAGAUCAAUUACGAGUUUUAAUGGUGGAAUUGGAUUCAAAGAUCGAGAUAGCGAAGAAAAGGAUUGAGAUAGCAACGGAGAAUAAUUAUAAUGUUGAGGAGGGGACGUCAGUGGAGAGUAGCGGCCAAACCCUAAAUGCAAACAUGAAGUGUAAACAAGUAAUGGGAUUUGAUCAUGAAGAGGAAAGUACUGAUUAUGGGAUGUUUGGAAUUAGGUCAUCAAUGGAGCAAACACAAGGCAUAAUGCCAUUCCAUCAUCAUCAUCAUCAUCAUCAUCAACAACAACAACUUCAAACAAUGGCACAAAGCUGUCUUCAAAUGGAUCAUGAGAUUGAGAAUUUGUCUCCAUUCCUAUUUGGAUCUAAUGGGUCAGCACCACAAUUUCAGUUAAGUUAUGGAAGUAAUACUAACAAUUGUUUCCAAAACUACCCUCAUAGUUUUUACAAUGAUCCAACAAAUGGGAUGAUUAUGGAGAACACACAAAGCUACUCAUCAAUGUGCCAUUAUGGAGUUCCAUUUGGUGCACAAUCAGUUGUUCCAAUAUCAUAUAUGCAAAUGCAACAACUCACUGCCGGCGCUGAGGAUCAGAUGAUGAUGGGUUAUGCUUCAACCUCUCAAAUGGCUUUGCCCAAUACUGCUUCUUCUCAAGUGAUCAAUGAUCCAUUUGAUUUCUACAAUAGCUAUGAGUAUUUGAUGAAGCCUAACAACUUCUAAAGCCAUGAUUAAUUAGUUCAAAGGCUAAUUUGAAGUAGAAAUAGUUCAUUUGUAUCUUUGUUUGUUGAUCACUAAUAUAGCUCUAAGUUGUAAUGAUUUUGGAUAUAUAUCAUUUCUGAUCUCAAUUGCUAUUCCUUUUGGUUGGAAGUUUUGAUAUUUGAGGAUUUUCUUAAUUGGUUUUUGAUUUGAGUAAUGGAUCUGAGAUCUCGAUAUUAUUUAGAGAAAAUAUUUACAAAUACUUAUUAUUGGAUUAAAAAAAUUAUACAAUAAUGUCUUAUCCCUAUUAACUCCAUUUGUCAUUAAAAUAAAUAUAAGAAGGUUGAUUUAGAUUUGUCUUACCAUUUAUAAAAUGAUUAUACCAUAUUUUCCUUAUUUAUUGAAAGACUUCUUGAUACUUUAUUUCUUUUUUCCUAUGAAUGAUCAUUAUAUUAAAAUUGACAUUCCACGAUUUAAGGUUAUAAGAUUAAUUUUAUCAUUUUCAAAAUUAAUUUGAAUUCAAUUCCAAUCAUAUGGUUGCUUGAUGUAUAAUUUGAAUAAAGCACAUUUAUUUAUUUAUAAAUAGUAAGAUGUCAACUAAGUGGUAAUUAAUAUAAAUUAAACAAAAAAAUAUUAAAUUAAAUUAAAAUUAUUAAUCAAAUUUAGAAUGGUAAGUAAAUGUGAAAAUUGAAAAGGUUGAAUCGGGGGCUAAUUUUGUAAAUUCUUAUAGAGAAAAACCCUAGUUCUUAUUUCCAUCAAUAUUUCCCCACAUUUCUUCCAUUUCAGCACAGCCCCUACCUCGACAUCCAUUCCUCACGAUUCUUCAAAUUUGCUUUUGAAUCUUUUUGUUGUGAGACUGAUUCGUUUUUUUCUUGAAGAGAAGGGGUAAUCGCAAUGGUGGACGUCGAGGAGGAAAACGGAGAAGAUAAGUUAAAUGGUGUUGCUAGUUCGAGUGGAUUUUUCGGCAAAUUGGAACACAAGUACAGAGAAAUCAAAGAGAAUGCAGAAAAGUAUCCUUAUGUGUGGGGAUCAUACAUUGUCGUCUAUGGCGGAAUUUUUCUUUGGGCUGGGUAUAGAUGGAGAAAGCUUCGGAAGACGGAGGACAGAGUACGCAUUUUACAAGAGAAGCUUCGAAAACAUUAUGAAGCACAAGAAUCAUCUAUCAAACAAUCAGCAAAUUCAGUUGAUAAAACUUCAACUCCUUCCAAGCAGUAGCCAGAUUUUGAAUACGUUCUUCUUCUUCUUCUUCUUCUUCUAAAGAUAAUGGUUAGAUUUUGUAUCUCAUUUGUUCUGCUGUUAGGUUCUGAUUUUGUUUUAAUUUAAUGGGGAUCCCAUUUCCGUUGUUGACAAGUACACUGCUCUGUUGUUGUUCAAAAUCAAUUCUGCAAUGCAAAUUUAGGAGAUAAAAGAAUAAUGUUUUACAAUGGCUGGAAUGCUACAAGGAAACCAUUCGCUCAAAUUUAAUACGAUUUGAGUGAUUAGAGCCUUUGUUUCUCUUCAAUUCUUCUGUUUGUCAUUUAAGUGUGUUUUGAUUGACUUUGGUAGAGUGAUUUAGUUGUUGUUUGGCUUUUCUUAGUGUUGUUAGAGAACAUAAUAUCAUUUCAGAAUUCAGAACCAAUGUUGCUCCCAUUGGUUAAUGAUGAAGUUAGUAGACGAAUACUUUUUGGAUUUUAUUAUAUCUUAUGAUGAACAACUCUGGGAUUGUUUAUAUGUGGUUCUGACAAAUUCUAGGUAAGAUUACAUUCCAUUCCAUUUCAUACAGUUUUCAUUCCCUUAACCAAUAAGGCUUUUCAUUGUGUUUUGAAGGAGAAAUUGAAAUUGUGUCUGAACCAUUUCCUUUCAAACAAUUUUUCUCCUUUUCGUUCAAAAGAUGAUACUGAGAUUGUAUUAAUUUUUCUAUAUCUUAUACCGAAUUUGGAGAAAAGUUGAAAAUAUAUACAAUUUGGUAUAAUGUUCUUAUGGGAAUAUUUGAAAAAAAAAAAAACUAUAAUGUGUAAUCAGGGUCAAUCUUGGAUGGACCUAGAAGAAUUGCGAAGACUCAAUCAUCUUAUUUUUGAAAAAAUUUCACUUGAGCUAUGUUAGGUGCCUCCGGACAAAGUGGUGGAACGUCAAGGAAGUUGGCGAUCAGAUGACAAGGGAUCCGACGGAACGUCAAGGAAGUUGGUGAUCCGAUGACAAUGGAUCCGGCGGAACGUCAAGGAAGUAGGAAGUUGGUGAUCCAAUGAUAAUAGAUUCGGCAACGGAAGCCAUUUCGAAUUUGCUUGUAUUUAUGUUGGUUUUUUAUUUUAGUUUGACUAUGCGAAUUGAGAUAGAUGAUCUAAACUAUUUAGAAUGAAGAAAGAAGAAAAAAGAAUAGAAAGAUAGAUUCACUGAUGAUUGCGUUAAAGGAACUUCCUAUGAUAUCUAAGAACAAAAUUUGGGUGGCUAAAGAUCAUGAUUCGGAAAAGUAGAAACACUAGUAGUAUAGUAUAUGGGUUUAAAUAUGCAAGGGAGUAAAAUUUCAACUAUUACAAGGAGUUUGAGCAAAAAGAAAAUUAAAACCAUUCACCACCUAGCUAUAUCCUAUGUCCUGUCGUAUGUAGAGAAAAACAGGUCUAAUGUUUCCAAGUUUAUCGACCACCAUUGGUGCUCGAUCGAGAACCGCUCUUUUCUUACACUUGCAUGGACAACAUCACUAUCAUAUAUACACUCAUGAAAGAUCAAUGUUCUCAUUUUAAAUGGAGGUAUUAAACGACUCCAAUUCUCUUCCUCCAUGUGGAAAAACCAAAUCCUUCUUUAAUGGAACUCAAAUCUUUAGCCAGCUUUACGAUGCCAUUGUUAUGGCUAAUGGCAUUUCACUCUCACGAGAUACUAUUGAGUUGUUGGAUGACGAAUUGCUGUGUCUUUGAUCAGCAUUGUUGUUGUCCUCGUUAUCUCGUUCUCCCACGUCCUGCUGAGCGGAUUCAGCAGACGAUGCAUUAUUGUUAUUGUUAUUAUUGGCAUUUGCAUUAUUGGAACUUACAUCCGCCCCAAUACCAAGGGAGACUCUAAAACCACAUGCACGUGAGAGAACUCUAUAGAAGAAAGUUAAUAGCCAAAAGAACCAAGGGAGGCAGACCAAGGACAAACCGGUGAUAGGUAGCCAGGCGGUGGUUUCGGUUUCAGGGAGGAUCAUGUACAUCAAAAGACAACCGCCACCGCUGAGAAUGGAGAAGAAGAGAAAACAAGUGACGAUCCAUAUGAAUGCACGUCCAGCUGAGGGAUUCACCAAAGACAUUAAUUUUGGCGUUUUGAAAGAAUGUGAGUUUGAUCAAGAGAUGAUGGAUGAAAGGUAGAAAACAAGAGUUAGGAACAUGAUGAUGUUCUUCCUGUGAUGAUGAUCAUCUUCCAUUUUCCUCAUUGAGAAACAAACUGGUUCGAGAUUUGCAUGGAAAUUUCUGUCUUUUGUGAAGAAAAAAGAAAAAAAAGUUUGUGGAGAGAUCCUCAAAAGUUUGUUUAUGGAGAAGAAACACAAUAUCUAAUUUACAACUUUUUUUUGUCAAAGUUUUUUUCCAAUGGUGUUACGUGAUUUCAGCUCUCUCAAAAUUAGUCUGUUUUUUUCCAUUUACAGCUUUGAAAUUCAUUUCUUUUUUUUUCAAGAAAGAAAAACUUUUUUUAUUGCAUUCUAAUUACACACUAUAUAAUCAAAAUUUGUAGAUCAUAUGAUAUUUUUUAUAAAAAAAUCCAAUAUAUGCAUGCUAAAGUAAAUAUUUGUAUAUUUUUCAUUGAGAAAAUUCUUACUAAAAAAAUUGGAAUUGAAACGUUAAACAUGCUUGAUAAUUAAUAAAAAGAACUAAGAAUAUAUUUAAUGAAUGUUUGAACCAUACAUGUGUCAGUGUUAUACAUUAUCUUAAGAAACUGAGAGGCAAUAGAAUUGAGAGAGAGUAAUUAAUUAAAAGAGUUAACACCGUUAUCAAAAUGAAAAAUAUUGAUAUUAUUACGAGAUAACAUAAAUAACAAAAUAUAAGUCAUUUUGAUAACUUAAUUUAGAGCAUCAUGUUUUAUAGAAAAAUCAUUUUAUUUAAAAUCAAAACAUUCGUGCUUUUAUGAGAUAUACUUCCACAAAAUAUAUAUAUAUACACACAAAUUUGUUUAAUUUUCUAUAUACUAAAAGAAGUGAUGGUAUUGAUGUCAAGUUAGCCUAAAGAACUAUCAAACCCUAUGAACAAAUGAUUUUAAAACAUUUUUAAAUUGUAGUUUAAACUCUUUUAUCAAAAGACUUUGGAUAAAAAUGGUUUUUUUUUUUGUUUUUGUUGCAUAAAACAUUUUUCAAACCUUAAUAUAUCGCAUGAUUGUCAAAUACUUCAACUUUUUCUAAGAUGACUUAUUUUCAAGACUAAACGAAAACCAAGUACAACUAGUAAUCAAUAGUUCGUGCAUGAUCGGAAAACACAAAUAAGAGUGGAAGAUGAUCCAUAAGAAAUUGAGAAGGAAAUAGUAGUGAAAUGGACUAAGUAGAGGUUGGAGUAGCAUCAGGCUGCUCCGCUGGGGCUGCAUCUUGAAAUGCUGCUGUACCAUUGUAUUCCUCAUUCAACCUGUUUAAUAGAGAAAAUUUGGACUGCCAAAAACAAAUAUAAAACAUUGCUUAGCAAUUUUACAAUUCCAAAUACUAGAGGGAGAGAUUGUCAAUUUGAUUUCGACCAUAGACAAAUGAGUAAUAACAAUGAUAUGGUUCUCAUUUCCAAUGAAUAAUAUAGUCCAUUGAGAACUUUUCAAAAGUAUAUAAUAAGCUUUAGAGAUCAAAUAGAUAGAAAGAAACAAAGUUUAAGGAGGACUUAUCUUGUAAUUUAUCCUAAAAGUAAAUACUAUAUCUAAGCAUUUCAGGAGGCUUGGACUUCCCCAUAGUAACGACAUGCCAAACUCUUCCCUCAUCCCAAACCCUCUAACCUAAUUCCAAUAAUAGCAAUGCAGUACUUCUUAGCUCCUAUUGCUCUCAUUCUCUUCUAAAUAAGGUCUGGAAAAUGUAAUUAGGCGGAAGAUAACCAAUGAAGGUGGGCCUAUGGACUGUGAUCGUUAAAAAUAUUGAACCAAUUACAAACGGAGUGACACGAGCUGUAAUAGAACUUGUUAUAUUAUAAACGAAGCAUUUCAGAGCAAUGACUAAAAGCUCUAAUAAGUUAGGAACCAGUAAUACCAUGUCAAUAUUGAAUCUAUUGAUGGCGCCAUGAAUUUGAGGAGCCAAGAACAAGUCCGCCUGCAGAUGAUAAGAAAUGGUUAAUCUUAAUAUGUAUAAAAGAAGUUCAAUAUAAAUUACUCUUUCUACUUCUGUAAACAUAAGAAAUGUACUGUAUUUUCUUGGAAAAAGGAACAUGUAUUGUUAUGAAAGAACUUCAAAAGUAGGAUGAGGCAUACUGAAGAAUCCCUAAGAACUUACAUAAAAGCACUCCAUUUGGCACUAAUGUGUAAAGGAGAAUAAAUUUGGAGACUGUACUAAUGUUAACCCUACUGAAAAGAUACAACUUUUAACACAGAGCAUUCUAAAAAUUAUCAUAUUUCCUUCUAACCAAACUUUAAAAAGAAAAACCUUAAAAACACAGUUCCAAGGAUUUACUCCUUUCCUAUGAGGGAGUCUCUCUGAUUGUUCUUGAAAAAGCAUCAUUGAACUCCAAAAAGUAUUUAAAUAGACUGCCGGCAAAUAAUCACAAAAUCAACAAUUGGAGAAUAAGUGUUUCAGAUUCAUUCUCUCUUUUUUUAUUUUUAAACAUAUUUCCCUCCAGAAAAUGUACAAGGUGGGAGAAAUUUGGAUGUGACAAUUUCCACAAUCUAUCACUCAGGUUCACCCCUUCUGAACAAACAUAACAAGAAAUAUACUGUAUUAUUGCCAUACUGUCCCUGAAUUCUAAAAUAGGUUCAGAUCCACUGAUAGAGUUUCAUUAAGGACUACAACAGAAAAAUAUUGGCCACCUUUAAACCAAGGCCAAACUGCAACUUGAUAUUCAGAUGAGACAAUCACUUAGAUUUUCUAAUCAGAGCUAUCAUCUGUAUCAUAAUACUCAUAGCACAAACUCAAACUAACCAUAUAGAUUUCAUCUCCAGUAGCAUAUUUCCCAGCAUGAGGUUUUAGCAGCUUUUCAAGUGCUGAAGCACAAAAAUGCAAAAAUGCAAAAAAAAAAAAAAACUAUUAAUAAUAAAAUAACUUUCAGCAAUAUAUAAAUUAAGAGUUGAGAGACCAUGAGCUUUUAGGAGAUUUUCAAGUGUUGAAACCGAGUGAAACACACAUUAAUGGCAUAAAAAAAUAACUCUUUCAGCAACUAUAUAAUCAAGAGUUGAGAAAACUGAGCUUUUAGCAGCCUUUUUAUUUUUCCUCUAACAAGUUGAGGGAGGGUAAUUGAAGCUAAUUGAUCACAACUAACCCUACUCGACAUCAGUUAUGUAGAUUAAAACUGGACAUGAGAGUGGAUAGAAUCGUUAUCUAUAUUGUCCUAUAUCCAUUCCAUGUGCUAAAUUUGUUUUCUGUAGGAAUUUGAAGAGAACUAGUACAGCAAACUUGUCUUAAAUUCGGCCUAAGUUCGGUUUUUUAUCACACACCAAGUCCUUUUGUGGUCUGAUUAUUUAAAAAGGGAUGAUUUCUAAAUAUGAUCACUAAGUACUUGUCAAGUGUGUGGACAGAAUCAUCAGAGCUACUAAUAAGGAAUCGUUUAUUUUCCAAUAUUCACAUCUUUACUUGUCCAGGAAGUCUCUUAGAUUUCAUCACAACAGAGAUUUUUUUAAGUUUCAUCACAACCCAAUCUUACCUGUAAAACCUUUUUCAAUAUUAUGUUGAACCCAACGAAGUUUUUCUGCUGGACCAGAUUUUUCCUCAAUGUACUUCUGUAAAGUGAAAAAAUAAAUCAUUAAAAAAUAGCAGAGGGAGAAAACAAAACAAGUGAAUGAAAAGCAUUAUAAAUAUAACGUUUACACCUGGGAGGGAAUAAACGGCACCAAAUCAACCAAAUACCAAAAGAAUGCACGUUGAACACUCACCAGAACAGCUAUAUUUUGAAGAGGCUGUAUGCUAGAAGAAACAAUGUUUGCAGCCUGAAGAAAAACUUGGAGAAGUUAUUUAAUGUCGGGUACGUUUACAUACAACAACAGCUAAAAAGUUUCUCAAAAUUUCAAUAACAAUCCACAUCAGUAAUACUGUGCUUAAGAAAGAAUCAUCAGGCUCCCUCCAAUGCGGUCUCAUGGAUUUUAUACAAUCGCAAUUUUCUAAGACAGAUAUUAGUCCCAGCCCCCAUACGAAGUAGUCCCACAUUACUUUGGCGCAUUUCUUGCCAUUUGCAGGUACUAAACGCACAUUAAUCCCAUGCAUUAUUAACAAACGCAAUAUACCUGGUAGUUGAUAGCUCUUUUACCAAGAUCACAAGGCAACAGAGGAUUCUGAGGGUACUUCUCCUCCAAAUACUGUAAGUUCAGAACAAGUUCAAAAAAUCAAUUAAAAGUAAAGAACUGAAAACCGCAAGCUAAUUAUAUAGAUGAAUUGAAAACAAAAGGCACGAACCAUGAUUAUAGCAAAAGAGUCAGCAAUAACAACAUCACCAUCCACAAGAGUGGGUACAUAACCAAUAGGAUUAAGCUUCUCAUACUCUAAGCAACAGGAAAACAAAGUAAACAUAGAAAUCAGCUUCAAUUUCAAAGCAGAAGAAGGCUUAUUCUAGAAGAAUAAAUGUGAUCCUGAGAAAGAAAUUGAGGAAAUGUAAAAAAAAAAAAUCAAAAUUACCGGGUGAGAAUUGCUCUCCCUUGAGUAGAUUAACAGCCUUGUACUCGUAAUUUAGACCUGAAAAAGGAACAGAUAAUAAUAAUAAUAAUAAUAAUAAAAAAGUAUUAAGUAGAAAAAGCAAAAUGAAAGAAGGAGGGUGAGGUAAGAAUGGAGGGGUUAGGCAGGAAAAGGAAGAAAAGAGGAAAUACGUUUGAGGUUUAGGGCAAUUCGAACACGGUGAGAACAAGAGCUCCUCCAGUAAGAGUAAAGCUUCAAGGAAGAAGCUGCAACCGGCGAGGUCUAGAGUUGAAGAAGCACAAAAAAUGAAGUGAGAAAGAAAAAGCAAAAGUGGAAGAAGAAAGAAGAAAGUAAGAAGGAUGAACCAUGGUGAUCCGAUGAGCGGAGAAUCCAGAGAAUCAGAAAUGAGGUGAUGAUUCAGAAUGAGAACGAUCGUAUUAAUUUGAACGGAUUCAAUUCCAAUUCCAAGGCCAUGUAAUAUAUAAUAUAGUAAUGAUGAUGGCAUAGAGUAAGGAAUAGAGUGGAUCGGAUCCAAAUGGAAUCGAAUCCGAAAAUGAAUAGAUUUGUACAACUUAUGUCUAGGAGUGACCACUGAGCAUAGCACCAAAACCCGAGUUCAACUGACCAAACCGGUUGAACCCAGCAAAAAUUGACCGAUUCUUCUUUCAAUUCGGUUAAAACCCGGUUUCCUUUUUGAAAGAAAAAGCCGAACCCGAGGAUCACCAUCCAAAUUCCAAGGGUUGCCUGAAGUUGUUGGACCAAUGCAUUCUCAGAAGUAUUCUCACCUAUGCAUGUCUUCUGCUAACCCUUUCUCCUUUAUGUUUGGUUGCAUGCACACAAUGCCUCUGCCUCUUUCGGAGCUUUACCAACCAAUUUUCAAUUUUCAAUUUUAAUUCCCAACACCUAAAAUUAUAAUUAUUCAUAUGAACGCUUUCCACAUAAUCCACAUAAAAAUUGAAUCUUUUUCUUGGAACGUGGAUUAUUCAACAAUCGAAGUUGAGUUACGUUUUAAAAAGGAAUAUAUCAAUAAACUUCUAUGAAAUAGUUUCAUGGAAUUGAGUCAAUUGUCUUCACCCUGGGAUAUCAUUGAGAAAUAGGAAUUCAUGUUAUCAAAGGAUUUGAUAUCGAUGUAUGUUAAAAGACCAAAAAGUUCUUUGUUUAAAUAUACCCACUCUUCAUUUGUACUAAAACAAUAGUUAAUAUAAGAUAAGAGGUGAAAUAUACUUAGGUUGGUAAGUUAGAUAUUUUGCAAAUGUGUUGACUAGGUCUCUAUGGUUUGUGUAGCCUCUAUUUAUCAAAGUUUGGGAUGCAACAUUUUUAAUAUACAAAGUGCAUCACAAAUGGAGUAAAAUAAUACAUUUGUCAAACAAAGAACUAACUAAACACCUGACAAUAUCGAAGGUUGUUUGGAGAGGAUCUCUCGACACAUUGUUAACAAUUUUUCGAUAAUUAUAGAUAUUGGGAGAUCAUCUUUUUUUUUUUUUUUUUUUGUAUGUAAUCAUACGACAAUAUGAUGGUAAUAAAAAAACUACUUAAUAAUCUAUAAAAGAUGGAAGAUAAUGAGAUGGUUAUCUGAAACUACUUAUUAAUUAUAUAUAAACAAAAAUGUAAGAUCAUUUGAUAGCAAUUGAUGUUAUUUACAAUUAAAUAACAAUUGAUAUUAAAGUAAAUAACAAUGAGAUGGUAAAUCGGUAUCAUUAAUAAUCAAUAUAAAUAGCAGUAAGACAGUAAUUAAAUAAUGAUCAAUAUCAUUGUUAACUAGUGUUAACCAAGUGAGAAUUCGAUAACAAUGAGACGAUAUACUCAAAUGCAGUCCAUAUUUUUAAAUAUAAAAGCAUUUUGGUCGUUUGACAAAUUCAAUUGGACUGAACUUCUCAACUUAUAACUCUCGUAAAUUUUAAAGUGUUGGGUCUUUUCUUUGCCUAGGUGUUUCAAUUACUUAGGAUGAGGAGGUUUCUUCCCUAAAAGAAAUAGAAAAUUUGUGUAGAGUUUUAAUAUAAAUUGGUCCUCACUUUAAUAUUUUCUUUAUAUAUAUUUCAUUUUUAUUUUUAAAUUAUAGGUUAAAUUUUAUAAAAAUGCACCACAAACCCUAUAGAAUUAAAGAAAACAUUUUUGUCUUUUAUGGAAGAAAAGAUGUGUUUGACUUAAAUUUAGUUAAAAGCUUAAAAACAAACGUUGUGGGACGUGAAGUGAGUUAUUAUAAUAUGUGUUAUUAUAGUAUGUGGGUUAUAAUAAUUUAUGAGUUAUUAUAAUCUGUGUUUGGGAUGCAGAUUAUUAUAGUUUGAGUCAUUGUAAUCUAUGUUUGAGAAAAGUAAGAAAUAUUGAAACGAGGGAGUGAGGAAUAGUGACAUAUAUGAGAAAUGAGGGGUGAGGAAUAGUGAAAGGGAGGAGUGAGGAAUAAGUGAAACGAGGAAUAGAAGAAUAAGAAAAAAAAAAUAGAAUAGUCAUAAUCCUUGAGACAAACAUAGAAUAGCCCAUCCCACCAAUGUGAGGGUUAAAUGACCAGUUACUAUAAAAAAAAGGUUCAACACAAAAAAAAAAUUUAAACAUUUUACAAAAUAUUUAUACUUAAUAAAAUUUGUACCAUUGGAGGAAGAGUAAAUAAUUUGUCUUAACUUUUUUUUUUUUUGAAAAAAUCCCAAGUAAUUUUUGAAAAAUAUAAAACGAAAAUAGAAAAAAUGGAAUGAUUUGCAAUUGGGCCUUUUUUGAGCCCGUAAUAAUUGGCCUUUUCCCAAUCCGUUAAUAGUGGGCCUUUUUCUAAGCCCGUAUUAGUGGGCCUUUUCCCAAGAAGUAAUGGUGGGCCUUUUCCUAAGCCCGUAAUAGUGGGCCUUGAGGAUAUCCUCUUGAGAAACCCUAGUUUAUAAUUCACCUUCGUUUUCCCAAAAAUAAACCCUAAUCUAGCACUCGAAGUUCUCCAGCAAAACACAGCCAUGGGGAGAAGUAUUGCUCUCUAUUCUGUCUACAAAUUGCAAUUGAAAUGUAGCAUUUUUUUUUCUUUCUUUUAUCUUUUCUCAUUGUUUUUGCAUUUGGUUUUGCAGGACCUGCUAGAUGUUACCGCCAAAUCAAGAACAAGCCUUAUCCCAAAUCGCGAUUUUGUCGCGGUGUUCCUGAUCCCAAGAUUAGGAUUUAUGAUGUUGGAAUGAAGAAGAAGGGUGUUGAUGAAUUCCCCUUCUGUGUUCAUCUUGUGAGUUGGGAGAAAGAGAAUGUUUCAAGUGAAGCUUUGGAAGCAGCUCGUAUUGCCUGUAACAAGUACAUGGCAAAAUUUGCUGGGAAAGAUGCGUUUCAUUUGAGGGUUAGAGUUCAUCCCUUCCAUGUUCUUCGAAUUAACAAGAUGCUUUCAUGUGCCGGAGCUGAUAGGCUCCAAACUGGGAUGAGAGGUGCUUUUGGUAAGCCACAAGGAACUUGUGCAAGAGUCGCCAUUGGUCAGGUUCUUCUUUCCGUUCGAUGCAAGGACAGCAACAGCCAGCAUGCUCAGGAGGCUCUCCGUCGUGCUAAGUUUAAGUUCCCUGGUCGUCAAAAGAUCAUUGUUAGCAGGAAGUGGUAUGCCUCUUCAUUCUCAUUUCAUCUGAUUUAUAUUUAGUUUCAAUUCAUCUCCUUGGAGUGUAUAUUUGAUUGAAUCAUAAAUGUUCAAACUUUUCUCUUCAGGGGAUUCACUAAAUUUAGCCGAGCUGAUUACCUCAAGUUCAAGUCAGAGAACAAGAUUAUGCCAGAUGGUGUUAAUGCUAAGGUAUUUGAUGCCUGAUAAUUGCAAUUGCAUUCCUGUUCUAUUCUAUUAUAGGAGAAUUACUUCUUUCAUCAAUUUGUUGCAUUUAGCUGAAGAUUGAUUUACAAACUAAAGAAACGUGGAGGGGUUACUCCCUGAAAAUGUUUUGAAUGGGGCUUCCUUGUUAGACCUUAGGGCCAUAUUUUUAAUUGUGAUCUCUUGUUUUUCUGGGUUGUCCGUCACUUUUAAGGCACAAUCACUGCUGCUAUCAAUAUGUUUAUACAUUUUCUAUAGUUUGUUGUGAGUUGCAUUCUUGUUAAUUUAUUUUGAGUUAAACUCAUGGUUUGAAAAUUUCGACUGUGCAGCUUCUUGGAUGCCAUGGGCCUCUUGCAAACCGUCAGCCUGGAAGAGCUUUUCUAUCUCAAACUGUCUAAGCUAAGCUAGUUAAUUUUUGGAUUUUGAAACUAUGUGAGAAUUAAUGUCGACAUCAUCAUCAUUUUCUCUGUUUGAACAUUGUGAAAUGAGCUAGUCUCUUUUUUGUUUUGAUUUACUACAUUUUGAUAUUGGAACGAAAGCUUUGUUUCUUUCUUUUGAGUUCUAUUUAAUACUUAGUCGCUGUAGAGUUUGAUUUUUUUCAAAACCUUGAAUAAUGAUAUGAAUGUGAGAAUCCCCCAACUUCUACAAUGGCAUCUUCAAGCAAAUCUCCAUAGUUUAAAGGAUAGGUUUCUCUUUUUCUAAAAAUUAGCAAAUGGUUUUUAAAAGAGGGAAACCGUAAAAAAGUUUAAUGAAUUUUGUGCAAUUUUGUUUUUAUUUUUGAAAAAAAUCUAUAUAAAAAUCAUUUUUUUUUUUAAAUUUAUGACAUGGAAAGCUUAGGAAACAUGUCAAACAAUUAAUUUUUCAAAACACAUUUGAAUCAAAAACCUUUAGUUAAAAAAUAACCAUUGAAAAGGAUUCGCAAACAAUUUGAGAUGUCAAUUAAGGUACUAGUCAUGUUUACUUGUUUCACAAGUUGAUGCAAUCAGAAUAAAACCAAUCAAAGGGAACAUAUAGCACCACAAAAAAAAUCUCUCCUUCAGCAGAAAAUGAAUUCAUUCUGAAGGAGGAGCAGCAUCGUUGGAUGAUAGCGGUCCUUUAUAGAGCAAGUCUAUCGGUACAUACAAGAAGUAUUUGGGCUGAGCACAUGUUAACGAAAGAUCUGUCUUCUAUGCUUCAAAUGUUAAGCAACUAAUUAUUUACUUCUCAUUUUAAUGGAUGAACAAAUAUGUUCAUAUGCCCAUUUAUGUUCAUAUGAUCAAACCAUUUAAGCAAGUUGAAUAAAUGGAAGGAUAAUUUUAAUUGAUGACAGAUAUAUGCAAGUUUUAUGUUAUAAUUAGAUUGAAUGUACUUCCCUAAUAAAAAAAAAAAUCAAAUCUAGUAAAUAAUAACUAAUAGUUUCCGUUCAAAUUUGAAUUAUGAGGAGAAAGACUUCACACUUCUUUCAAUAUGUAACAAAAGAAUGAAACAACAAAAUGAUUUUAUUAUGUAACCAAGAUGAUACAAACUUAUACACUACGGUGUUAUAAUAAUGUGACAAGAAAAACAUCAUUUGAAAGAGAAAUGACAGUCACGAAUGGUAAAUACGCUUGAUAUAAUCUGAUUGUUUUGUUUGGAUGAAACUUUGGAUACUUGCCACAUCACCAUGCAUGACGACUUUCCCGUCUUCCAUGUAGAUAGCUCCAUCUGCAUACUCGAGUUCUUCUAAGCGAUGGGUCACCCAUAAUGCUGUAACAUCUUCAGAAUUGUGUAAAGAAUUCCUAACUGCUUUGAUCACCCCCGUCUGAUUUAGAAACACAAAAGGAGAAAGAAAUAAGAGGAAAGAUGCAAUUUGUUUUGAAAUAAGAGAAUACCAACAUAUAUUUUGUUUGUCUCCUAAAUUUUAAAUGGUCUAUUUUAGUUUUCCAUUCUACAUGUAUUCAUUUAGAAACUAAAUUGUGCAUUAAAAAAGGGAUAUUUGGGUCCUUAUCAUUAUUUGUUUGCUCAGGUAAGAAUUUAAGGAUCAAGUAAAUGAAGAAAGCUUUGAUAUUACAUAUAACUUCAAAACCUUGCAAUAAUCAGCACAGCAUGUCAAAGUCUACCGUUGGGAUUAAGGGACAGAAGAUUUAUAAAAUCUGCUUAUAUGAUAUCGAAUACCUGAUCAUUCUCGUCAAGAAAUGUGGUCAGUUCAUCUAAUAGAAGCACUUUACAUGCUUCAGCCAAAGCACCAGCAAUGGCAACUCUUUGCUUCUGACCACCACUCAGCGUUUGGACAGAUCUCUGAGGAACAAGAAUAAGAGAUAAAUUAAUUCGGCAGUUCUUUAUAACUUCCAAUUUUGAUAAGCUACAAAGAUAUGGCUUGCCUGAAGGUAGCUAGACAUGCCAACUGCACUCAGAGCUUCCAAAACUCUUGAUUUAACUUCAUCAUUGUUCAAAUUUAACUUACCGAGGCCAAAUGCAACAUCAGCUUCCACAGUAGGCAUAACUACCUAGCAAACAAAAGAUAUAUUUGUUUGCAUCAAAUGUUUGUUACAACAACAAGCAAAAAGAAGGAUGAAAAAUCUUUUUUGUUUGCAAGAAUAGCAUAUGUAUUUUAUCACUAUUCGAAUUUUCUAAAUCUGACAACUUCGCUCUCUGUUUCUUUACCAUCUUCUAAAGAUAUAUUUUAGGUCAAAUUUCAAACCUAGUCUUUGAAUUCAGUCCUGUUAACAAUAAACUAUCAGAAGCUUCAAAUACAUCCCUAAACUUUUGAUAUUGAGUUCAUACCAUUAACAUUGUUACUAAAAUAUUAACAUAACUUACCAAUUAAACUAACGCGUGAUCAUUUGUAACGACGUGACACAAGAGAAUGUGUCAACUAUGUAAAAUAAGGGUAAAAUGGCAGAAAAAUCUGGUGGGAAGGACAAGCUAUAACACGUGACUAUUUUAUCCCACUAGUCCACUCUCCCAUGCUACUUGCUGCCACAUCAUGUUAAAUGAUUACACCAUUGUCCAGUCAACACGCCACAUCAACACUUAAGUAGCAAUGCCAACAGCAAGAAUGAAUUAAAAUUAAAUUGAAUGGAACUUAUAUAGUCUUGGAACUAGACACAGCUCACCAUCAAAGUUCAGGGCUUGCAGGCUAAAUAUGUAAUUAAGCUAAACUUUAUGCGUGAAUUAGCUAAUAUUAAAUUUCUUUUGCAUUUUGAUCCAAAGAUGAAAUUAAUCAUGUUAGAGUGAGCUAUGAGUCAUGUACUUCUUGCAUUUAUAUCUAAUAAUUAUAGAGCUCACACAUUACUUUUCCAGUGCCUUUUCUGACAAAGUCCAUUCUUCAAAUCAGUGCAGUGGCAUAAAAUUUUGAAAAUGAUUUCAGAAAUAGAAUACAGAAAUCCUCUAGAGGAUAGAUGAGCCGCCCAUACCUAGUUAGUAGUAACUAACACAAUAACGUUCGCAGCUAAAGGCUCUGAUGCAAAUGCACAAUUACUUCAAGUGCAAAAGGCACAGUUAAAACAAGAAAUAUUUACUCAAAAGGAGGAGCUUUGCCAUGUUAUUAUAUACCAACAGUAAAUUCUCUUUCAAGGUUCUAAAAUCGGCUGCAAUGUUAUUAUAUACCAACUGAAGCCUGAAGGUUAAAACGAUGAAGGUAACCUGAUAGUCCGGAUUUUGGAAGACAAAGCACUUUGGCUUCUUGACGUAUACUGCACCAGAUGUUGUAUUCAAAAGACCAGCCAAGACCUACAUAAGUGAACACAUCAAGUACUUGUAAAUACAUCAUCUAGAUGAGCUACAAAAGUACAGUGACACAUUAGGGCCCAUUUGAAAAUCGUGUUAAAUUGUGUCCUCUUUUGGGAUAUGAAGAAAUACUAAUCAUAAAUGGCAUUGGCAAUACCUGAAGAGUAGUUCGAGUACGAGCUUGAAAUGUAAGAAAGCUACACUCUAAAGUUGAAGGUUCAAGACCGUAGGUUAUAAACAUAAAACCUAACAUCCUUAUUAUUUCCCGAAGCUGACAUUAGAAUAGGCGGAGCCUCCACAGAGAUUAGUGUCGUGUCAUGGCACACUUGUUUAGUUACUUCACCUUUCGCCAUAUUAGGCAGAAUACAAGUACUUGUUUGACGAAACGCUUUCAUAUUAGAACAGUUUUCAAAUUCGUUUUCGAAACUGUUAAAUUCAAAAUGGUUAGUGUAUUAUGCAUAGUGAAAUCACUACUUUUGUGCUGUUUUUCAAAAAUAGUAAUCAAACAAGUACGGACUCAAUCUAAACAACAUACAACUCCUUUGAACAAAACAAAGUAACUAAACCACAGCCAUUAGGUCCAAGAAGAGCAAAGGUGAGUGAAUUUUGGUAAAACCUUCAAGAGGGUGGAUUUUCCACAGCCAUUAGGUCCAAGAAGCAUCCAAAACUCUCCUGAAGGAAUCCGGAGUGAGCAAUCCCUAAGAAUAGGCACAGAUUUUCCCUGCUUUGUCGUGAUCGAGAAGUUGAGAUUGCGCCCCUCAAUGGCUAUAUUCUCAGUAGUAUUUAUCCUGCAUACACAGACACAAGAAUCCAACGAAAUAGAAGGAUGAGAAAGGAGUUAAGGGAAAGAAAAGGAGGAAGAAGAAGUGAAAAGGGAAUAGCAUUAAGAUUAUAAUGAUGGAACCUGGAGGGGGGAUUGGAGAAAAGAGGAGAAAGAAGAGGAGGCGAUGGGGCAACAAGAUUGAAAGAUGAACUCUUCAAAACCAUUGCUGCUGCAGAAAUGGUGAAAAGAAAUUCGAUUGUUCAAAAUGAAAACACCUUGAAGAUUGAGAGUGUUGUUUGGGAGUGAUCGUUGAAGCGAGGCGACGUACGAGGGUUGGCAGGCGUGGCGGCGGAAACUGAUCGGCGGAGAGGUGACUGGUCGUCGUUAGAGCGCUGGAGAGAGAUAGACGGGGAGCUGCCGCUUUUUCUCCUUUUUCUUUUUUCUAAUUAUACAAAAUUUCCUUUAUAUUUGAUACUUUGGUUUCAAAAAUGUUCUUUUAACAAAUUAAAGUUUCCAUUUAAAAAAAAAAAAAACUUUUAGAAAAGGGUUUAAAAAACGCUUUGUCCCUCACUAAACCAAUUUAUUUUUAUUAUUUUAUGACAAAGACUAUGUAAUUUACAAAAUAUUGAGUUUCCAAUAAGAUUAUGCAAAAAAAAGAAAAUUAUUAAAUUUUAACACUAAUUUCUACCAUAAAAAUUAAAUUAUUACAAAUUUUAUUAAAUUUUAACACUAAUUUUUACCAUAAAAAUUAAAUUAUUACAAAUUUUAAAGUGCAUUUAAAGUCUAUAAACUAAACCGCUGCGAAAUUAAAAAAUAAUAUAUUUUUAUGAAAGUUAUAAAUAUUGGUUUUUCUUGUUACUCAUAGAAUUGUCGAAAAUAUAAUCUAUUACUCAUAAAAUAUAAAAUUUUGCGUUUGUGAAAAUACUUCAAUUAAAUUUUUAUACCAACAAAACAUAGUUAAUUUAAUGGGCAAGAGUUGAGAAAUGGUUAGAUAGUUUUAAUCUAAUUAAAACGUUGAUGACAGUACUAAAAAAAACGUCAAUAACAUCUUGAACGAAUUAAAACCUUGAUAACAAUAUCAUUAAUAUCCAAUAACUAAAAGCAUAAUAUAUUAAUCAUACACGUAAAAAGAAUUAUUAAGAUCAUACGUUAGUAUUGAUAUUAGUUAAUUAUUCAAUAAUGCAAUUAUGUUUUACUAUUUAAUUAAUGUGCAUAUAAACUUGUAUUUAUGAAAGUUAUAGUUAAAAAAUAAUUGGUGAAUUAUUAUAUCCUGAAUAGUUAUGUAAUUUUCUAACAAAGUAAAUGCAUAGAAUAGAUAUCCUAAAAUGGUGUGUUUUAGGACUUUUGCACUUCUGCACACUGCGAGUUCGAACCAUAAACAUUUGAUAUCUUUUAUCUUCUAAACUAACCUUAUAUUUGAUAUUCUCAACUCUGGUAUGUAUUAUCACAAAGUCUUGAAUAUAACUUGGUAAAUAACAUAACUUCUAAUUUGAUAUUAUAUCAUCAGUUUUAUCAUUCUGCGAUAACAACUAAUUAAAGAGCAAAAAACUGGGUUAAAAAAUAUGGUGCUUCUUUUAUUGAUCUAUAGGAUAGGAAUGGAUCAAAUUUAUUAAUAUACAUUGACUCAUUGAGCAAGCAAGAAUUUGGGUUUAAGAAAAAUGAAGCAGGAAUGCUAUUUUCACAAAGCUUACCCAACUUUGAAGUUAAGUAAACAAUAAUCAUGACCUCUAUAAUACUCUUUUACUACACAACAAAUAACAUUUGUGUACCUCAUUCGCUUGGAGAAUCCCCAAUAGGGAAUGAACUAUGAUGUGUUUCCUUCUUGCUAGAGACUCGCUCUUACGGAACAAAGGUCGGAGAGAUUGAGAAAAAUCAGCCAAAAGGGUGCUGGCUACGAACCACUGUCAGGGUUUGAAUCCCUCACCCACAACUGACCAAAAAAGGAAGGACUUUUCUCUUAGAGGUAGGAAAAUCAGUUGACUAUCGAAUCCAACUUUGGCCAUUAUUUUCAUUUUCGUAUCUGUAAUCAAUUCCAAGUUGUUCAAGAAUAGUAGCGUUGUUGACAUGCAAUAACUAGAAAUAUCCAUUCCUCUUUACCCGUUUUCUAGAUUUCAUAAGUUCCACCAGCGAAGGAAGAGGCUCAGGCACAGGGACAUUCAUUGACCUAUACAACUUUCUAAACUUGUCGUUAAAUCCCUUUGAAGAACCGACACUUAAAAGAUGUGAAUUACUACACCCUGCUAUUCUGUCAUUAUUAACCAUCUUUCCAACGUGUGUUUCAAGAAUAAUGGAGACAUCUUUACAAUUGUCUGCUAACUCUUUUUCCUUAACUCUACUUUCCUGCUCAUGGACAUGUUCUUCUACAUCACUGUUGAAUACUUCUGGCAGGUUAUUAUUCGUCGACAAAACUUUUAUUUCAGAAAUAGGGAGCUUAGUUCCAUUAGAGUUAAGUGAGGCGUUUACAUCAGCUGAUAAUGCAUCAUUCGCAAACUUCUCAUGUUUUCCUUCGAAGUGAACUUCAUCUUUAGAAUUUACUGAUGAUUUGCCGCUCAGUUUACACUUUGCAUCAUGAAUGGACAGUUCUGCUACAAUAUCUCCAACAGCUUCUACAGGCUCGUUCUCAGUAGAUGGAUAUGAAACUUCUUCUGACAACAAAGUGGCAUCUUCAAUGGCAAGUCUAGCUCGUCCAAAUAAUGUGAGAGGUGGCAAGUUGCUUGAAGACAAAAUGUUUAACAUUUCUUGAGGAACAGGAUACACUUUCACUGUUUGUGAUUGAGGGUUUACGUUUCUUUGAGUGGGUGCUUCAACUAUAGAAGAACAGCUCACUUCAAUCACAGAUGCAUCUAAAUCUGAAGAACUAUCCUCAGCUAUACCAAAAAGCUUCCAUAUUAGGCCAUUUGAAGUUAAACUAGAACCACUGAGUUUCCUUUUUACGUAAUCCAAAUCCAUGGCUCGACAACCAGGAGUGGUUGAAACAACCCAUUUUGGUGCUAAAAUUUGCAAGGCCCAUUCUAGUUCUUCCUUUGACGAGUGCAUCGAGUAGCAAACAUGCCAAAUACCAUGUUGAUCUUUAAUUGCUUCACUAAUUAUUUGUUUCCUUGAGUUCCAAAUCUCUGACACUUCCUCACGAACAUACCACUGGGUAGAGGGUCGGAUUACGAGAGGUUCAGACAGAAAAUUGGUCUGAGCAUCUGCAAGCAGUGUUCUUGCAGUUUGACAUAGUUUAGGGAAUCCAUCAAGUAGAUGAAAACGGGAGGAUGGAUCUUGAGUGAGGAUGUCAGGGUUUAUAAGUUCAAGAGCCUUAUAGCCUGCUUUCUUGGAUUCAUCAGCAAAUAUCUUUGAACCAAAUGUUUGGGACACUUGUUGCAAUAUAUCUUCCUGUCCUAGAAGAUUGCAAAUCAGAUAUACUAGCGGAGCAUCAGGGUGUUUCCAUAUGCAAUUAAUAAUCUGAAAAGAUAAAUUAUCUUAAAUUAUAUACUGGUUAUAUAUUAUAAGAAUGUAAAUACUUAAUAUUCAUUCUACCAAAACAAUCAAUAAUAUACAGACGAACUAAGGGUUUAAGCAGAGCACAAAACAAUGAAAAGAUUUUCAGCCACCAAGAUAUACGCCAUGAACUAUAGAAAUUUAUUGUCAUAAGAAAGGUGAAGUUUAAAAUUAAAAGAAUCGUCAACAAGUUAACAAAUGCCAGAGUAUGAAAUUUUGAAGGAUCCAACAUAAGAAAUCUAAUUGAAACAUGGUUUUUGUGCACAAUUAAUAUGGGCUCCAAACAUUUGUAAAGUGGUCCAAAAUGAUGGUAUCACCCAACAACUCAAACGAAUAGAUAUCACAUGGUGCUACUUGUUUCAUGAUAAUAAUAAAAGGAGAAAAAAAAGGCAUCAGCAGCAGCAGAAGAAGAAAUAUGUGGAACAUGAGCUGCUUCCCAUUAGCAUCAGGCAUAAAAGGAACAGGGGGAGAAGACGUAUCAAAUAAUUGAAAAGAUUUAAAAAGAAUUCAGAGAAAUUUGCAGAAAGGAAAGGAAACUCUUAUCAUUUCAUUAUAUUUGCAUAUGUCAAAAUUAGUCACGUAGAAUCUUGUAUUGGAGGAAACUGCUUAGGCAAGGUUAGGAAAAGGACACCACAGAAACAUGGUUGUUGAUGAUUUUAGCCUACAUAUCAUUACUCUGCAAUGAACGGAGAAGCACAGAGAAACUUGAAGUUGAAGCUCUAGAACUACAAAGCAAGAAUAUAGAUAAAAGGGGCUAGGAAACUGUUAGACCCCCAAUAUUAUAUCAAUACCGGAGGAGGGGAAAUAAGUUUGUUUAGGGGGGAGACACGUGUGAAUAAGUUUGUUAGGGGAGGGAGGGAUAUGUGAGUAAUUGGUUGGGUAAGGUUAGGUUAGUUAGACAUAUAAAUAAGUUUGUUAGGAGAGGGAGGGGUAGGCUUUAUUUUUUUUGAGUUAUUGAAUCUUCCUGUUAUUUCUUGGGAGAGAGGGAAACAGAGGAUUGUACGUUCUGCUACAUUAAAUCAAUAAGAUAGAAUUCUCAGUUGGAUUUGGCUACGAGUUCCAUCAGAAACCAAAAAGGUUCUGCAGAAGAUCUUACAUAUAGGCUAUAGCUAUGUCAAAGAUAUACACAUCCAUGAAAAUAAAAUACAAAAAGGAAAUUUGUAUGUUGACAUGACAUUAACAGACAGAUUUCAUGAUUGAAAAUCUACAGGGCAUUCACUUGAUUCUCAAAUCUCAAAACGUAUUAAAUAACUGAACAAUGUUACCUGAUGUAUUGAUGAAUGCCUGCUAGGGAAUUGUUGAAAGAAUCUACCAAAUGUACAGUCUAAAAAAAUCAGAUCCAGUUUACAUCUUGGCUCUUUACCACUUUUUCCACGAUACUUCUCAGGUAAGUUCUGUAGGCACUCAGGAGUUAAUCUACAAUCACCCGUAUGCAGAACAUUGCCAAAAUAGCCUUCAAAUAAGAACAUAACAGCUCCUAGUCCAUGCCAGAGAAAUAUAUCAUUUGUCAGCUUCUAAAUGGUGAUAACAUUAAAUAUUCGAAUGCACAUAAUAACCCCCACAAGAUCUCUCAGAAAAAGAAUGACAAGGAAAAAGGAAGAAUACGCUGAAAACAAAAGAUAUGUGAUGAGACUAAAAAUGAAGUGUAGAAGGCUUAACAUAAACCUAACAAAAUACUGGUCUAGAUUAGCAUAUACAAUACCAACAAAUUUUAAUCCAAGUAUGAAAUGAGAGAGCAUUAAAAGUCUUGCUCAAGACAAAAAUUAAAGGAUCUGCAGAUGAAUGGAAAAACAAAAAGUAAGGGAUAAUGUAGAGUGCAAUAGCUAAAGGAGAUGAUCUCAAGAUUUUACUUUAUAGUAUAGCUUCAGGGAGAAAGCAGGAAUUUGAAUCAGUAGGUUAUAUAGUCAGAUUAUCAUUCUUGCCCCUGCCUGCAGGCUGAAAAAUUAAAGGAGAGAUACUUAACCUUUUCCUUUGGUAACAUGUAUCCAAGGGCCUAAAUCAUAGUUCAUAAAUGAUCCAAAUAGAAUUAGAAUUGUCUCCCAACUCUUCCACAGCUAGCAUCUAAUUAGAAAAAAACACGAAGGAGGUACAGACUCUGUGCUAUUGAAAAUUACAUAGUUGACGAUUUUAUUGAUAUAUGCAAGUUUAAUUCUUCAAAUUUCGGUGCUAAUAAGAUGUGAGAUUUUAAUGUUAAGGGGGUGUUUGGCCUAAGGAGUGGGGGGCGGGGGGGGGGGGGGGGGGGGGGGGAGUUGUAAACUCCACAAGGAAUUUCUGGGCCACAUAACAAGAAAAAAACAUAAACUUUAUGCCUUAUUAACUCUUUAUAUUGUGGGUCUCACAACUUCACAAGUCGCCUCCUUGGCCCAAGCACCCCAAGUUUCAAACAUUUCUAUAUAAAUGCACUUGAAAAAUAAGGAAAGUAUAUAGAAAAUAAGGAAAGCCUAAAAAAGGUUCACAGCCACUUUCUUUUUUUAUAAUGUUUUUCUAGAUAACCAAAAAGUUUUGUGAAGAAUGUCCAGAGACAGUAGGUACUCGAAUUUCUCUGUCCCAAUUGACAAGUUUUCUUUCUUCCUAAAUGCUUUUUUUUUUUUUUAAAUGGAAAAAAUAGAUGAAGAACUUGUGCUCUUAUCUGAUAAAGACGAUGAGAUAACCCUUGUCUACUCCACAUUGAUAUUCAUAGUUGGGCAUCUAAAGCAUAUUAUUUUUUCUUACGAGGAGUCAAGGUGAAGAUCUUUAACUUUUCCUUCAUGCUGGAAAAAUCACAACUUACAUUAGAACUAAAACAAUAAUGCACAAAAUAGGUGCACCCUUUGAUGGUAAAAUUCAAAUAUAACUUGACCAACUGUACCUUUUCUAAGAAAAAAAUGUUAUAUUGUCUUUUAAGACACUCCUCUUAAUUGGUGCUUCUGCUAUAACCUUUUUAUAAUCUUCAGUCAAACAGCCAAUAGUUAAAUGUCAGUUUAAGUUAAAAUACAACCCCAAGAAGCAGCUAAUUGCUUCAUUCACUCACAACAACGAAAAAUUCAAUGCCAUGUUAAUCUUAAUCCUAAAAGUGUGUAAGAACAGUAGGUCUGCUAUUUGAAUUUCUGACAUUUCUAUAAUUCCAAUUGUUAUUUAUUAGGAGCCCACCCGAAAAAUGAUAUGCGCACAUUUAAGCCUUAAUAAAAUCUGUUAAAUCACUUAAUUAAAACAAAUGGGUGGGAUGGAAAAAAUACCAGGGCAGUGAUGAGCAUCGAAAACGGUAACGGUGAAAGCUCCAUCAGGAUCUUUGACGACCAGCGAUUGCCCCACCUCGAUACAUACAAACAGUGAAUCAUGUAACUGCGAAAAGGAACAACAAUUCCAAGUCAAAUUAAGCCUCCCGAAAAAGAAAAGCAAUGGGUCGAUUGAAAGUGAAGAGAAACCUGGGGAAACUGCUGAAGAACGAUAGACUUGGUGAGAAAAGUAGAAUAAAUGGGGAAGGAAAAAUGGGGGACAAUCCCAGUGGUGUGAUCCCUGUGAGCGUGUGUUAGAAAAUGGUGGCGCUUCUUCUUGGAAGAUGGGGACCAUGUAUCCACUGAAAAAGGGAGGCCUUGGGGCAUUUCGAUCGGCAUCUUCGAGUUCUGAGGGGGAAAUUCCGAUGGGAGGGGAAGAGGAAAAUGGGAAUAAGAACCCUAAUUUGAUUCAUAACGAUUCUGUCAAAGCUUCCACAAGAAGCAAAAUUUAGUGGCGGGACGGUUGAAUCACCACUCUAUUUAUAUUUUACCGCCUUUACCAUUUUUCCAAUACAUUUUUAAAGCAUAUAUAUAGUGCAUUUUUUUUAAAUGGUAAAAUAUUCAAAAUAAACUUUCUUUAAUUUUUUAACUUUUCUCUGCUUUUUAAAUACUUUUCACAACCCUAAACCCUAAAAUUACCAAAUUAAUUUCAUUAACCAUACCAUGUUUUUCAAUACUCCCAAAUGAAAGACUAUUCAAUUUUGAGUCUUAAUUAUAUCAAAAUCACUUGAGAUUAAUAAAUUGUAAAUAAGAAUAUAAAUUGAAAGAACAUAUAUAAAAUUUAUGAAAAAAAAUGAUUGGACAGUUUGCAUUUUUAUUUAUUUAUUGAAAAAUAAAAUGAGAUAAUAAAAAAAAAAUUGAAUUACAUAAAAAUAAAGGAUAAAAAAGAAAAGAAAAGAAGAUGAGCAGCGACAGAAGAUGGUUUGACAGCCUAAAUGGACAUAGAAGAAGAAUAAUACUACCCUUAUUCUUCAAUGCCUUAUUUCAUUUAUAACAUUCCUAUUAAUUAACCACACUACCCACCACAUUUCAUAAAAAAAAAAUAAACUAUAAUCAAGCUUGGAAAACUACAACAACAACAACAAAACACCUAAAAUGAAAAAUCAGUUUUGAGAGGGAGCAUCGGGUUGGUUUUCUGGUGCUGCAUCUUGAAAUGCUGCUAUCUUCUUGUAUUCUUCGUACAACCUUGAUAGAAUUGGAAACUUGGACUGCACCAACAUAACAAUAAUAUGUUUAUUAACCCUUUGUUAAUUAACAAUGGACACUGAUUAAUUUAACUUACUACUUAGCAUUAAUAUAUAAAAAUAAUGAUUAAAAUACAGUACCAUGUCAAGAUUGAAUGUUUCAAUGGCCCGAUGAAGUUGAGGUGCCAAAAACAAGUCUGCCUGCAUCCAAAUAAUAACAAAUAAUUCAUCAUCUUAAUUAUCAUCUCAUUACAAACAAAGCUACUUCAAACACACACAUACCCUACUUCAUAAGAAACUUUAGCUAUAUAAGUCUAAGUAUAUGUAUAUAUUAAUGGAUAAGUACUCUUGGGCAUAAAAAUUUGAUCAAUGAAAUUAGUAGACUAACCAUAUAAAUUUGGUCUCCAGUAGCAAAAUUUCCAGCUUCAACUGUUAGCAACUUUUCUAGUGCUGAAACAACACGCAUGUAAAAAGAUGGUUUUAGAACUAAGAGGGAAUCAAACUAGAUCUUUAUAAAGAUAGAAGACUGCUUCGUUUCUCAUUGGAACCCCCCCCCCCCCCCCCCCCCCCCCCAUGCUAUCAAAUAAUUAAGUUAUCAACACCCACAUGGUAGUUUCUUUGUUUAAAGUUGUUUACUUCUCUUUAUAAAUGGUUGAAGAAUAUUAUUAUGUAGAGAAAGCUAAAUUUUACCUAAAAAACCUUUUCCAAUGAUCAUGUGAACCCAAGAAAGUUUCUCCUCAGUACCACAUUUUUCCUCAAUGUAUUUCUGUAAAUUAAAAAAACAGUAUAAUUAAUAUAUACAUUAGGAUUUCAACCCUUUUAAAUAAUGAAAUUAAAAAAUAAUUAAUCAUUGUUUCAAUAAUCACUCUUACCUCAACAAUUAAAUUUUGAAGAGGCUGUAUGCUUGAAGAAACAAUAUUUGCAACCUGUGAAGAAAAAAGAAAAGAUUUUUUUUUAAAAAAAAUUUAUAGACUAAAAAUGAAACAUUUACUUCAAAGUUAAAAAUACGAAUUACUAGUCCCAUAAACACAAAUUUAAAUAUAAAUAUUACCUGGUGAUUAAUAGCCCUUUUAACAAGAUCAGUAGGCAGCAAAGGACGCUCAGGAUACUUUUCCUCCAAAUACUGUAUGUUUACACAACUAAUAUCAAUUAGUGAUAUCAUUAGGAGAGCCAUAUUUAAUUUGUAGAUAUGUAGGCUAACUAAUCAUCACAAAUAUUUUCAUUAAUAAAUUUCUAAAAUAUAUUUUGAUUUUAAGAGUCUCCCAAUGAGUUAAAAUUCUUCUGCAGGUAACAUUUGUUGAGUUAUAUCUAUUGAUAGUACUCUCUUCAUUUUAAAAUGUUUCCUUUCCACAUUGUGUUUCUUAAUAAGUAUAUAUGCACAACUUAAUUUAAUUAGUUCACUUUUGUUAACAUUUGGUUUUGUAAGUUAUCAUUUUGCAAAAUUAGCUUAAUUACUAAUGAAUGGGACCUGGGAGUUUAAGGACUCCAUCUUAGUUAAAGCUGUCAUUUCUAAAUUCUCAACUAAACUGCUUUGUUUCGAAACUUAGAUCUUACUUUUUAUAAAUGUAAUAAUAGAUAUAAUUUGAAACUUACGAAAAAAAGAAAAGAAAAGAAAAGAAAAGAGAGAAACACAAACCAUUAUUAUAGCAAAAGAGUCAGCAAUAACAACAUCUCCAUCCACAAGAGUAGGUACAAAACCAACAGGAUUGAGCUUUAGAUAUUCUGAUCACAUCAAUUAUGUAACAACAAAGUUAAUUAAAACACAAACAAUAACAUAUAUAUACAUAUAACAUUAAACUUACCAGGAGCCAAAUGCUCUCCCUUCAAAAUAUCAACAGCUUUAUACUGAAAGUUUAGUCCUGAAAAGUAACAGAAAAGAACAUAUGCAUGCAUGAGAUGAUUUUGAAUUACUUUGAUCGCAAUAAUGCAUUUGAGAUCACUUGAUAUAUAUCAACUCAGUGUUUGAUUUAGUUCAUUACUUAAUUUGAACACAUUUUUUCAUACUGUUAUAAAAAACUAAUUUAUUUUUUAAUGAUUAAAAUAAUUUUGCAGAGUGGUUUAAUUAGUAAUACCUUUUAGGUUGAGGGCAAUUCGAACACGUUGGGCACAAGUGCUGGCCCAGAAUGAGUAGAGCUUCAAUGGAGAUUCUUCGUCCACUGCCAUAGCCGCCUUACCCUUAACAACAGAGAAGAUGAAGCAAACUUUAUAUAUAUAUAGACCACAAAAGAAAGGAAGACGAAAAUCAAAUUGAAUAUUUUUGCAAAUUAUUACAAUAAUAUUUGAGAAAUCAAUGUAUAUAUGGAUCCAUUCAUUGAUGACUUUAACACCCACCACUGACCACACUGUCUCUUAUCUUUAUUACAUAGUCAAGCAUGUUGAUGUCAGCGCUUACAUCGGCAUCGACUUGGAUGUUUGAAUGAUCAAUUACAUAAUUUUCCAAUCAAAUUCAACUAUUGCAUAAUAAAAUUUGUUCUCAAAAUAAAAUUCUCACUAUAUAUCUUAAAAUUCUAUUCCAAAUCUAAACCAAAAUUAUUUACAUACUAUAAAAUUUGGAUAUAUUCCAAAUAAAACAUGCAUGAUACAGAUAUAAAAAAAAUGUAUUUUUUUAAAACAACUUUCAAGUUUAUAAAAAUAUGCUCAUUUGGUAAUUGGUAUUAAGUUCAAUUUUGAACGUUCACUUUCAUUAUUAUAUUGAUUAUUGUAAUAUAAAUAGUAUAAUACACAUUCCAGUAUGCUUGUAUAAUAUAUGAUUAAUUAAGUUCAUGAUUUUUUGGUCAUCAAAUACUUGAUUAUGAUGCAUGUGAUGCAUGUGCUAAUUUCAAGUUAUUGAAAAGAGUAUAAUUGGAAGACAUAUCUUCUCCAAUAACCAAGUAUCUCCAACAUGAAACAUAAAAAGUAAAAUUAAAUUCCCUUUCUUGCCCUUAAAGAUUAUAGAUGACAUAUAUAUAUAUAUAUAUAUAUAUAUAUAUAUUCCAACACAAAUGAUUCUUUUCCCUAUGCUCUUCCCAUGGCAAUUUAUUCUUUGCUUCUUCCCCUUUAAUUUGUCCAUAUAAAGCCUAAGAAAUAGAGAAAAAGAAGAUUGGUUGAUUUAGGAAUAUUUUGAGUAUUUUGAAAAAGAAGAAGAAGAAGAAUUGAAGUAUUUUGUUGUUGGAAAUUAGCUAAUAAUGGAUGGAAGAGGGAAUAGUAAUAAUAAUGUUCAUGAUCAUCCUCCAAAUGCAAAGUUUGAGUUCACUCCAACAUGGAUCAUUGCUGUUGUUUCAUCCAUUAUCGUUAUCAUUUCCUUCUCCCUUGAGCGUGGCCUUCAUCACCUUGGACAGGUUCUUAUACACAACAACAAUACCUUUCCCAUUUUUUACUUUCUUUAUUUCUUCAUUUCUUUACCUACUUUCAUCGAUUUUGAUUCGUUAUUUUAAGGGUUUUGUAAUUCUAGAAAUGCUCAUUUUGAUUAUAUGUUUCAAAUAUCGAUAUAUCAUCGGUGGAUUAUUGAACUAUUAUUGAAGUGGUUUUAUAUAUAUCUAGUAGCAUCUCAGUACAUUAAUGCGAAGCUUUAUUAAUUACAAAUAUGUUUAAAAUGUGAGAUUUUAGCAUAAUGUGUAUAUAUAUAUAUAUGCCCAACAUAAAUGACAUUUAUCUACCUUUUUGUUUAAUGUGGUUCUUUCCUUGAUUCAGAAGUUGCAGAAGAAACAGAUGGAUGAACUAAAUCAUGCGUUGCUGAAACUAAAAGAAGGUUUUUUCUCAAUAUUUUCCCUUUUUUCUUUUCUCAAGACUAUGCAGUUCACUCUAUACAAGUCUUUUCCCUAUAGUUUGGCCUCUAAUAUUUAGAGGUUAUGAUUUUAAUGCCGAUAUUUUCCCAUGAGUCCAAAUUCCAUAUAUUCAACAAUCAAAUAAACUUACGAACAUAUAUAUAUAUAUUAUCUAGCUGAUCUCACUAAAUUAUGAAUUAAUGAUAUUUGAUCAUCACACGUUGGUAUGGGAUUUUCCUCUAUCUUUAUUGUGUAAGGUGUUCGUUCAAUACUGAAUGUGUAAUUACAAGAGGUGCAGUUGAACGUUUUUCUUAUAACUUUCUCUCUCUCUCUCUCUCUCUCUCUCUUUUUUACAGAGUUAAUGAUUUUAGGGUUUAUCUCCCUAUUAUUCAACGUGUUUCAAGGGGCAAUCGGACGUUUUUGUAUGCCCAAAGAUUUUGCAUACCAUAUGCUUCCAUGUAAGAGAAGUACCGUGCCCGUUGUUAAUCAUUUCUCAUCGUCAAAUUUUGUCGAUCACAAUUACAAUAUUCACCGUCAUCUAUUAUCGACAACUCAAGCUAAUUUUCAACAUUGCUCACGAAAAGUAAGGGUUUGUUUCAUAACACAUCUUAUGACUAUUUUUAUAAUUACUGUUUUCAUAUAUUCUUUCUAAAUAAUUACUUUAAUUGUGUUUUAUGAACAGGGGAAGGUUCCUCUAUUAUCUUUGGAAGCAUUGCAUCAGCUCCAUAUAUUCAUAUUUGUGUUGGCUGUUGUUCAUGUCAUCUUCUGUGCUACAACCAUGCUUCUAGCCUCUGCAAAGGUACUAAAUUCUCUCUCUCUC
rnacentral:lncRNA from 1 species